CAGGAUGUUAGUACAAGUAUGAGCAGCCUGCAAAUGAAACUUUUCUCCUUUGGAUAUGGAUACGCCUGCUCCUGGAGUAAACCAAACACACUGUUUCCAAUGGUCACACCAGUCCCUAGCACCUGUAUUAUUAUGGAUAAAAGAAACGAAAAUUCGUCAAAUGAGAUCAGUGGGCAAAUACGGCAUGGAUCCCAACGGAGCUAAAUGUGGUGCGAGGGUCUGUAGAGAAAAGGGAUUCCACUACAACCAUAUAAGUGCGUGAGAAAUGAGGUAAAUCAAAUGAUUUCCACACGAAGGUGUGACUCACUUAUCUCAGAAUUUGACUCUAUCCAUCUGGGAGCGGUAGAGUAGAAGAUUGUUCCUUCACUGUCAAGCUGAAGCACCCACCUGAAUGGAGAAAAUAAAAGGUUCCUCAUAUCAUAUUGGGAAAACAGAACAGAUCUUGAUCCCUUUCCCUAGGCCUUUAGGUGGACUUUAGUGAACAUAUUACCAUGAAAUUAUGGCAUGGACACUACCCUCGUUUAUAGCUUCGAUGUGCACAUCAAGCUCUCCAUUACUUUCAGGCCGUUUCCAAAAGUCAAAUUCAAAUACUUUGACGGGCUCUGACAACUGGAUGAAUAUAUAUAAACUGAGUCUAUGUGUAUAAACACUAAAUCUUAUAGCAAAACUGUAGAGGAAGGUUAGCGAUAUAAAUACCAGUUUGAUCUCUUUCUCAAUUGCAUCGAUAUGCAUGCUAUAUUGCUGUGAUUUGAUGCCAAACAGACUCUCUAAGCCAGGAGGAGCUAGACGAACACCAUCGGAUAUUCUAGCCUCGUUACUUUGUAGAUCGUGCAUGUUACAUAAGAAUGUGCUUUCUACAAGCUUGACAUUUCAAAGGAAAACAACGUGAGAAGAGGUAUUCAAUCAAAAUCAAGAUAAGCCAGUGUUCUUAAAAUCGGUCUAGUCUGAGCAAAACGAUUUUUUCAAACCGAUUUAUUAAAAAUCGUUCUAGGCAUUCAAAAAUUAGGUCUAGGCGGCGCCUAACCACCUAGCUAUUUCUUGAACACUGAGAUAAACAAUAAAGACAAAGCACACAAGCAACGAACCUGACAAUACGUAGUAGCACGGUACGGCACCGUUUUAGGAUUGUCAACAAGCAACAUGUCAUGAGCAUGUUGUAAACUUGGGAUUAGACCUUCACCAAGUAACUCAGAGUCCAAUAUUUCGCUUACCUAAUAAAGAAGUAGCCAUUUAUAAUUAACAUUUCCUCUCAAAUUCCAUACAAAGUAUGUACAUUUGUAUCUUUUUACUCACAAGAACAUCAGCUCGUGAAGCAAUGUCAGACCCAACUUCCAGUUCAUCAGAUCGUUUAUUGAAGAGGUUAAUGUUCUUGGUCAUCCCGUUCUUAUGCAAAACCUUUCUCAUAAGCUUCACCAUCGGGAGGUACGAUUCACACGCCGUCACACAAGACUCUUCUUUAUCUCCCAUUGCUCUGGCAGCCAUCAUCGAUAGCAAUCCAGUUCCAGCACUAUAACACACACGCACAUUCUCCGUGUCGGUUAAUUACUCAUUAGGGACCAAAAUUGAAUUCAAAUUGAGUUGUGGUAAUGAGGAGAAACAAACCCAAUGUCGAGGACGUGGCAAGGUUCGGUGAUGGUUUUCUCGAUUGCUAGACGGUAAGCUCGGUUGCGGCGAGUGUCGUUGAGCAUGUCUAGAUACGACGUCGUAGCGAGGAGGCCGUCCGUGGAAGUUACUGGAGCUCCAGCUUCGUCGUUCUCGUCGAUGACGAUCCAUUCCGAGGUGCCGGUGAGAGGGUCUUGUCUGAGCUGGAAGACGCGUUGAUUUGAUUGCGAGGUCAUGGUGCGAGCAGUGACGACGGAGCUUAGGCGAGUCGGUGGGGGCCAACGGAAGGAGAGAAAGGGAAUAAAGGUUUUGGGGAGAAGAAGAGACAGUGGCGGAGACAUAGACGGAGGAGCCUUAAAGGGUUUAAGCCGCCGUGAUGACUAGUGUGAGGAGAUUCCGCACUCUAGAUCCCCACAAUAUUCAUUUUAUUUCACAUUAACUCCAGAGGUUUUAAAAGGAGAGUUUUACCACCAAAUCAACAUGCAACGAAAUUUUGAUGUCAACUGAUAGUAGACUAGACUAGUAGUAAUAUGUUGUAAAUGUUAUAUGAUGGUAGUCAACUCAAACGAUGCCGUCAUGUUUGAGGAUGAAAUGUUGAAACAUUUUAUUGAAAACCAAACCGAAGUCUUCGGGUCUGACCAGUGACCAUUCUGGAAACAAGAAGAACGAAUAGGAAAAGAACGUAAAGGAAUAAAAUUGCAGGAACGAAAAGGAAUGGUUGUUUCAUCUCAAAUUUGACAAGAAAUAAUUUUGUUCUUUAUUUCUUUAAAAAAAAAAGAAUGGUAGGGAACGAGAAGAAAAAAUUAUUUUUUAUGAAUGGUGAUUUUUUUUUAGGAACAUUAAGGAAUGCAUUAUUCUUUGUCGUUCCUUGGUCACCAUUCGUACCCUUCCUAACAAAUUUGUUUUUAAUAAUUAUGAGUGAUUUAAUUUAUAAGAUAUUUGGAUUUGGCGAGAGGGAAAAUGCAGAAAUUAUGAUUUGUACUAAUAAAUAAAAACAAUCUAUAUUAUAAUAGAUCAGUUUUUGUUCACUUCUCAGCGCGCCACGUCAUCGUUUUGUGGAUCCCACUUUUAAAAAGUGUGAAAAAGUGUCAAACUCAUGGCUCGAACCCAGGUUAUUGAGAUAUAAACACCAACAUUUAUACCACUAAGCUAACUGAUACCUUUGUACAUUGAUGGCCGAACCUAAUAUAUAUUUAUGAAGGUCGGAAGCUCUUGCCCCUCGGCUUCCUCUGAGGGUCUUGAAUCUUUGUGACACGUCAGCAACUCCUUUAUGUUUGUGGGUCCCACAUUUACAUAAAGUCUCUCCGAUAUUUUAGAUACCAUUGAGAAUUAAAUUAGUCUCACAUUAAAAAUGAUUGUCUUUUCCACAUAUUCAUUUUUUUCCUAAAAUAACUCAGACAAACUACAAAGAAGGAAACAUAUUAUUAAUAACUCAAACGAACUACAUUGUUUUCCUAAAUGUGAUUUCCACGACUACAAUAAAGGAACUACAUUAAUUUAGAAUCCAAAAUAUUAAAAUAAGCACAAAAUCUUUGAUUUACGCCUAUAAUAAAGGAACAAGCAUAAAAUCUUAGAUAAACAUUUACGCCUACACUUGCGGAACAAGCCCAAGUUCUUAUCACGUUUUUACAUUUUUUUCCUAACCUCAUUCAAUUUUUGUUGUUGUUGUUGCAUUAAUCUUUUAAGGUUAAGCUUUAAGUUUUGGUGAAGGGGUGACAUCAAAAGCGAAGAAGCUGGUUGUGGAAAUUGGGGAACACCAGGAGAAGAAGUUGUUGUUGUGUAAGCAUUUUCUGAUGUUUUAUCUCAUAGUAGUGAUUGUGAAAUUGGAUUAAAAAAGAAGCUCUGGUGUCUAUUUUAGGGAGACUGAAGAAGUUGCUGGUGUUGAGACUGAGAAGCCUGCUGGUGAUGAGGUUGCUGCUGAUGCUAACAAGGAGAACACUGCUGAAGUGGAGGAGCAGAAAGAGUCUGAAGAUAAGGUAAGCAGAUGAGUUAAGAGAGAUGUUAGGUUGCUAGAUUAGGACAUGGAACUGAACUUACUCUUGUCUCGGCUUUUUUCUUUAUUAUCCUUCAAUGCUUAUUGGCUUGUGGUUUGGUAGGAAAUGACUCUGGAUGAGUAUGAGAAAAAUACUUGAGGAGAAGAGAAAAGCCCUUCAGUCUCAGAACACCUCUGAAAGGAAAGUUGAUACUAAAGUGUUUGAAUCAAUGCAAAAACUCUCAAACAAGAAGAAGUCUCGAUGAAAUCUUCAUCAAGUUGGUAAGACAUAUUAUCUCUCUGUCUUGUCGACUAGAAACACUCUUAACCGGUUCUGAACCUUGCAUUUGAUCUAUCUCCCAGGGUUCUGAUAAGGACAAACGCAAAGAUGACAAAGAAGAGAAGGCUAAGAAGGUUUACAUUGUUGUCUGAAUGAAAGAGUUUGUAAAAGUCAAUAAGUUUGCUUAUGGAUGUGUUCUGUGGUUUACAGGCUGUGAACAUCAACGAGUUUUUGAAACCAGGUGAGGGUGAGAACUACUACCGAGGAGGAGGUCGUGGUGGUCGUGGAAGGGGACGUGGUGGUCGUGACGGGGAAGGUGCUUCUGGUGGUGGAUUUGAUGGUUACCGUAGUGAAGCUGCGCCUGCCAUUGGAGAUACUGCUCAGUUCCCAUCUCUUGGGGGCAAGUAGGAUCCAUCCUUGGAAACUUGUGCUGUCUCCUUCAGUUUUCCUCAUCAAGACUGAAGUGUUUCAUGCUGAGUGUUUGCCGGUCUGUUGUUGUCAGGUGUAAAUUGUUAGUUGUCGUCAGUUUUUAGAGUUUCUGCAAACUUAUGCAUGACCUGUCUUUUUUUUUAACGUUUGAAACAAUACCCUUUUCUAUUUUGGUUUACCACUUAGUCUUUAUAGUUGUUUGUUGUCUUCUCAAUAUGCCUUUUUUUUUCACUCAACUCAUCGUCUCCCAUCUCUCUUGAUUUCUUAUAUACUGAUUACGUCAAAAUCUCAAGCGAUCAUAACCAAAAUCAGAUGAACCACUAUAAAAAACGAGCCCCCAAAAGAGAUACCAACAUCUGGUUGUCUCAUUCUGUCCAUCUCCACGUUGAUGUUAUUAUCUCUCUGUUCUAAAAUGAUUACCGAUGCGGUGAUGCUAUUUCUGACCGAUGCGAUUUGACGAUAUUCGCCCUUGCCAAAUUUCAAAGGAGAUUAGUGGUCGUCAUCUCCGUUUCUGAGAUUCACGUAACAUCAUGGGUAUCAUCCUCUUACUUUAAGAUGAGAAGGUAUGAACAUCAUGACCCUCGCACCAACUCAUUAAUUCAUUACCAUAUUCUUAGCUUUGAAACAAAUCGUUUUUAUCUUAGACAUGGCGAAUUCAUGGGCUUUCUACUUUGAUUCAUGAAAAGUUAUUUCAGUAUAUAUACUUAAAAAUAUGUAAUCUUCUGUUUAGAAUAUGUUACUAAUAACGUCUUCACUCAUUGUCCACAUCAUAUUGUAAUCCAUGGCUUCAUUUCAACCUUACUUUUUUUUUCUAUCACAAAUCAUUUUCAACAAAGUCCAGUAAAAAUUAUAAAAAUAAAUAAUUUUGUAAUUAUAUAAUUUUAUAAAUUUCUAGAGUUAUUAAUUUAAUAAAAAAACAGUAUACUACAAUUCUAUAUUUUUGAAGUUAAAUUUGGAUAAAAAAAAAAUAAUUUAUUGUUCGUAUAAAUUGUUAAAUUUUUAAAUCCGAAUAUUAUACAUUUUUUUACGCUAUUUGAUUUAUAUACUAACAACUACCUAAGUAAACACUAACCAAUCCCUUAAAUUUCAGCUUUUGAACAUGGAAGCGCUAAUAAUGUUAAUGUCCAUCAAAUCAUUACGAAGAUAAGAUAAUAAAAUAUCAACAAAUAUGAAUUCGCCGGUCAUUCUUAUAUCACCUUAAUCAAACUGUGUAAUAUCUGAUGUUCCAUUCAUCACCAUAAUAAACAACACGGAAAAUCAAAAGUUAAAAAAAAAACGACAACAACCCAUACACAACACUACACAACUCAUCAAACAACGUAUCCGGCUCCCGCUUGCGCGGGGGCUAUGUCCCUAGUAUAUAUAAAAGUGAAAGUAAUGGUCGAAUCAGUUGAGACUUGAGAGAAUAUGGUAAGUGUUAUAGUUAGACAAGUUAGAGAAAACUUAUGGUUUAUCACAUGAACAAAGUGUGACAUAUGGAGGAAGUGUGUAGAAUUAUAAUUAAUGUUUUUAAAAGUAUGCAUGAGGGUAAAUAAUUAUAUUUUGAAUUGCUUAUGGAGACUGGUUACAUACUUCCAUAGUAGUAAUAUGUUUUUUUUUUUUUGCAACCUAGAAUUAGAUAGUUGAAAUAUGUUGAAUUCUCAAUAUCAUGAUUUUUUCGUAAAGUUACUAUUAAAACUUUUUUUUUACUUUCAUGCUAAACAACAACAAAAAUGUUGUAGCUAUUUAGUCCAAAAAAUCACUAUUCUCUCAUAAGAUGUAUCUGUUUUUAAAAGGUUACAAUAUCUCAUAUGCGUUGUCAAAGAAAAAACAUAUAUACAAAAUGCGUAUGUUUUUCAAAUUUGGCACUGAAAUAUAAAAAUUAGUAUACCAAAUUGUAAUAAACAGGAAUAAAGGGUUUAACUCAGAAAUUUAAAAAUACUUGUGGGUACUUAACAAAUGUUUCUCAGUUAUGACAAACUUCUUGCACGGACAGUUUCAUCCAAAGUCCGAAGCCACCCCAAAAACUUUGAAAUCGGAAUCCAGAUUGCCGAAUUUGAUCGGGAGAAGAAAUGACGGGAGCGAAUCAAACGUGUAUAUUCUGUCAGAUCUUGCACGAUCCCAGCUCAACUACUCGUCUCCUUCACACCGUUCGUUCUUCUUCUCCCCUUACAUCGUUCCCAAUUUCUUUUUGAUGAGAGGCUAAUUGAAGAACUUUUAUUUUUUUUUGUCUUUCUCAGGAUGAGAAGGUCGUCGCGUUUCAAGACAUCAAGCCUGCCGCCCGGAGGUUUGUUUUGUUCACUCGCUUUGGUUCAUGUUGAUUCAGAUAAAUUAUUUUUUUGUAGCAUAUAACAGCUAGUAAUAACACCAUUAACCUGUGUAAUCUGGUUUAUGGAAAUGACGAUAAAACGAAAUGACUGGAAAUGGUGGUUAUUAGUUUCUUUUUGAAUUAGCCAUCUCAUCACUGUUGCAACUUCUUGCUUAAUUAUUAUUAUUAAGAACCAAAAAACACUCAUGUAGGCACUACUUGGUCAUUCCAAAAGAACACAUCCCAACUGUGAGAGACCUCCAGAGAAGAGAUGAAGACUACUCUUUGGGUUAGUCCGGAAAAAAAACAUAUAUUCUGUUUUAUACACUAUUAUUCUGUUAUAUAUCUAAUGAAAAAUUCGGAUAAGGAUGCGUUAUUAUUUUUGUGUGUGUGAUUUGAGCAGUGAGUCACAUGCUAAGUGUGGGACAAGAACUGCUGCAAAAAGACGCACCUCAAACCAUUCAUAGGUGAGGCUCUCUCUAUUAUUAUUAUUAUUAUUUUUGGAUCAAACCCUCUACUAUAAUCGUAAGUGAUGCUUGAUGUUUUCAUUGUCUUUGUGCUAACUAACUUAUGUAGCAUUGACCUGAUCUGUACUCCCUCACAGAUUUGGUUUUCACCAGCCGCCUUUUAACAGUGUCGAUCAUCUCCAUCUCCAUUGUUUUGCAUUGCCUUUUAUGCCCAGGUACACCAAUAUCCUUCAUAUCUUACUUUCCCAUGCCUUGAAACUGCAAAAAUACGAUUUUCUUUUCUUAUCACACAUUGUCAUCAAAACAGAUGGAAAGUCGUCAAGUACAUGUCUUUGGGACCUUUCGGUGGUUUUAUUGAAGCACAUAAACUUCUGGAGAAGAUAAGGCCUCUUCCUUCAAAAGUUUAACUGAAUCUAACUUCAUUGCAGUGCUAAAAUUGGUGCUAUAUCUCUUUUCUAUUCUUUUUUUUUCUGGCAUGUCAAUACCACAUAUCAUUGUUGGUUUUGUAUGUAAGAAGGACGUGUCGUGUAAUUUUAUGUAAUUUCUGUCGCUUGCCAAUAGUUGUAGGCAAUGACGCCAUUCUCAUUUUUGUGUCAUACUUAUAAUAUAGACAUUAAUAAUUCUUCUAAUAUAAUCUCUGGUGACUGACAUAGAAGUAGACUUAAACAGAGAUUCAUAUAGGAUCUCUUAUGUAAUUUGUUUGUAGGCUUCUGCUGUUGUUUUGAUGCUCUGACAUCUCUAACAACAAGUGUAGGGGGAGGUACUGGUUGCAGUGCAUGAGAUUAUCAUUAUUAUACUCCAGCUUAACUGAGUGAAGAUGCGCUCUUGCAACAUCAUAGCAAUCUCCGCAGAACAGGUAACGCUUUAGUAAACCUGUACGUUAGCAGUAAUCUUUCAUGCUAACAAAAUUUAUGAGUUGUUAAACAGUGUGAUAAACUUGUACAUUAGCAGUAAUCUUUCAGUAAUUCAUGCUAACAAAACUUGAGUUACUAAACAGUGUGAUAACCUUGUACGGUAGCAGUAACCAUUUAUGCUAACAACACUUACGAGUUAUUAAUUAGUGUGACACGAGAAUGAAAUCCUUAUAGCACUCAAGUUUCAGACAAGCACCUAUACUUAUCAAUAGCGAGGAUUAAUAUUUUGAUGUUAAACUAAAAAUUAUGUGCUUAUCUUAAGAACUAGAUGCAACUGAUACCAAAUCUUCUCUGCGCACGUGCAACUUGUUCAACUAGGCACAAGUACAGCUUGCAGUUGCAGUGCCUUACGCUUCUUUGGUUGAUAUUUCGUCUACGGGACUAGUGUUUCUAAAUAAAAGAUUGGUUAUGGGAUAACAUUCUGGUGACGUUUGAUAAGAUUCACUAGAAGAACAUGAGCUAACAAACAACAUAGCUUCUUAAUGGUGUUGUGUCUUCAAUAAUUGAAAUUCUUGAUUUGCUAUGGUCUUCGAAGGAAAUAGCCCCACAAAUUAUAAGUUCUUUUGGAUGGAUUUACUGGUUAUUCUCAACCACUCUUGUCAAAAUACCAACUCUUUGUUUGGACUUGUUUCUCUGUUCUUUAGUUAAUAAGUUCUGCAUACAGACAUAUUCACAGUAAUCAAGCGUUUUAUUUUGCUUAAAUUUUAAAAUGGUUGGUCCUGUCCUUAUAUGUUUUUUUUUGUUUUGUAUUUCUAAUGCCUUUAAAGCAGAUAUAUUAUAUUUUAUAAUAAAAUAUCGAUUUGUUGUUUUGAUUGGCAAUGAUUAUAGAUAUAGAGUUUGGUGAGUUCUUAGGUUUCUCAAUGAUUAUAGAGUUUGGUGAGUUAUUAUUCCCCAUGUCUGUUGUGUCACCUUAUGAUACUACAUGUCUAAGUAGUUUAUUGAAUCAUAUCCUCAAAUAAACCAUGAAAUGUAUAUAGUUUAUGGAAAUAAGUGGUAAUCUCAUGCAUGGACUAGCUUUUUUAUUACAUCAAAUGUCUAAUAACCUUUUUGUUUGUGGUGACACAAGAAAGUUGAAAAGCUUGAGCUGGCUCCUGUGACUUGUGAGGAGAACAUCUCUUGCGAGGAAGACAUCAAUGAACCUUUUCUUCUCGAAGUGACGACCAAAGUUUAUUGAUUUUUUUUUGGUGCAGAAAACAAAGUUGCAAUAACGUCACUGUCAAGUCUCAACACACUCAGGUAUGCCUUUGCUUCAUUGGUGCCUUCUUCUCGUUUUCCGAUUUUCCAAAUACAGCAAAUAUAAUUUUUCUUGCAUAAUUCUUCGAAUACGCCUCACUGUUAACAGCUGUAUCCAAAAGCUGAAUUUUUAUAAAUAAAAUUCUUGUAUGAUUUUUUAAGAAAAAAAAAAAAGAAUCCAUACUCUCUUUAAUUUAAGAGAAGAAGAAUCCAUAUUCUGUACAUUGACACGGUUUCCUUUCGUUUUUCAAAAUUUCAAUUACUUUUAGUAAAAUAUAAUGCUAGUAUUUUAUAUUUCCAAAUUUUCAAUGCGUUCCUUUUGCGAAACUUAUCCUUAAAGUUAUUUUAUUUUAUUUGUUUAUAGAAAAAUAACUAAAAAGUAUCGGCUUGUACCGGAGGAGGUUGGUGAAUUUUUAUAGGUCCCUUGGUAGUAGCCCUUUUGUCGUUUAGCAAUUCUCCACCUAAUCCAGCUUCCAAUAAAACAUAGCCAUAGCAAUUAUAUUUAGCACUCACAUAUUAAUUCUUUAAAUUCUUAUCUAAUCACUAUUUGUAAUUGUAAGUACUUAUCUUCCUUUGGUAUUGAUUGAUUAGUUCAUAAAAGUUAUUCAAAUUCAUUUUCUCAAAAAAAAAGUUACUCAAAUUCAGUAUACGUUUAUAUAACAAGAUAUACUUGUUUGGAAUACACAAUGCAUCGCAUUUGGUCAUAUAUCUUUCUACAAAUUAAUAAAAUCUUUGAUAUCAUAACUAGCAAAUGUAAUGUGUGGAAUUAUAAAGUUUGGCUGCAUGACAUAAAUUGUCAGGAGACAAUACCGAAGGAGAAUUGAAGUUGUGUGUGGAGAAGACUAUGGUACACGUACCUUUCACUCUUUAACCUUGUCCAUGGCGAUAGUCCACCUGGCUUGUCUAUGUGGCCUGUACACAAUUAUUAUUUUGUAAUUUUUCGUUGUUAUGGUAUUUUAGGGUUUCAAUGCAUUGAUUUUCAUUUUGAGGUUUAUGUGUAACCGAGGGGAUGAAUUGGAUAUGUUAUUAGCCAAUUAAUAUGGUUGAUAUUGAAAUAUUAAUAGGGACCUAACCUAAAUAAGAGAAGAAACAUACUACUGAAAAUGUAAUAAAUGUAGAAAAUGUAUGGUUGCAUUGCAUGCAAAACUCCCCCCACAAUGGAGUUGACUUCCAGUGAUCAGUUUUCACUAUUCUAUUGCGUAUUUGUUUUGUAUUGGUUAGUUCCGUGUCAAACUCCAAUGCUAUAUUUGGGACUCUGCAUGACACUAUUUAAAUCGCUCAUCAAGUCUUUUUCUUUCAACCAUAAGUAGAUAGUCCAAAACAAUGUAUUUUGUUACUAGUCUUCAUAAUUGCUAUUUAAAUGUUAAACAGUUAUACUUCAUGCCAUCAUUUAAUAAUAAUUUUAUCUACCGAUCAUGUCUUAUUGCUCUGUACUAUAAAAAAGAGUCGACCUCUUCUUCACAUUCAAAAGCAGAGUCAUACAAAUAUAUCCGCCAUGAAAACGUGUUGCAUCUUCUUCCUCUACUUGGCGAUUAUUCUCGAAUACUGUUUCUACUUCUCUGUUUCGUCAUCAUCACCUCUUCUUCUCCCUCUCUCUCACUCUCUCACGACCUCCAAACACUCUUCCUCUCCUCUCCACCUCCUAAAGUCAUCUUCCUCCCGCUCCUCCGAACGUUUCCGCCGCCACCACCAUAAACGCCAACAACAUCAACUUCCCCUCCCACUAUCUUCCGGCAGCGAUUACCUUCUCUCACUCUCCGUCGGCUCCUCCUCCUCCGUCUCUCUUUACUUAGACACCGGAAGCGACCUCGUCUGGUUCCCUUGCCGUCCUUUCACCUGCAUCCUCUGCGAAUCCAAACCUCCUCCUUCUCUGACCUCCCUCUCCUCCUCCGCCACCACAGUCCCCUGCUCCUCCCCCUCUUGCUCCGCCGCUCACUCCUCCCUCCCCUCCUCCGACCUCUGCGCCAUCUCAAACUGUCCUCUCGACCUCAUCGAAACCGGCGAAUGCAACAAUUCUUCCUACCCUUGUCCUCCUUUCUACUACGCCUACGGUGACGGCUCCCUCGUCGCACGUCUCUACUCCGACUCGCUCUCCCUCCCUCCCCUCUCCGUCGCUAACUUCACCUUCGGAUGCGCUCACACCACCCUCGCCGAACCCAUCGGCGUCGCUGGCUUCGGACGCGGACGCCUCUCUGUCCCCGCGCAGCUCGCCUCUUUCGCACCUCACCUCGGUAACAGCUUCUCUUACUGCCUCGUCUCUCACUCGUUCGACUCGGAGCGAGUCCGCCGUCCGAGUCCACUCAUCCUCGGACGCUUCGUCGAGGAGAAGGAGAAACGCGUCGGAACCGAUGAUGACGAUCAUAAGGAGAAGGUCGAGUUCGUGUACACAGAGCUGCUUGAUAACCCCAAGCAUCCUUACUUCUACUCUGUUUCCCUCCAAGGAAUCUCCGUCGGAAAACGGAAUAUUCCUGCUCCGGCGAUGCUCAGACGAGUGGAUAGAAACGGAGGCGGAGGAGUGGUCGUUGACUCGGGGACGACUUUCACGAUGCUUCCGGCGAAAUUCUACAAUUCGGUGGUGGAGGAAUUUGAUAGCCGGGUCGGGCGGGUACACGAACGGGCUGAUCGGGUCGAACCGAGUUCGGGAAUGAGUCCUUGCUACUAUCUUAACCAGACGGUUAGAGUUCCGGCUCUGGUUUUGCAUUUUGCCGGGAACGGAUCCAGUGUUACGCUCCCCAGGGGAAAUUAUUUUUACGAAUUUAUGGACGGUGGAGAUGGGAAAGAAGAAAAGAGGAAGGUUGGAUGUUUGAUGUUGAUGAACGGUGGAGAUGAAUCGGAGCUUCGAGGUGGGACCGGGGCGAUUCUGGGGAAUUACCAGCAACAAGGGUUCGAAGUCGUGUAUGAUUUGUUGAAUAGAAGGGUCGGGUUCGCUAAGAGGAAGUGCGCAUCUUAUUGGGAUUCGCUCAAUCAAAGCUAACGAGCGCGCGUUAUCCAAUCCCAGCUUCAAUCUUUUAAAUAAGUCAAUGUGCGCCUUACCGGUUCUACCGAAAACCGGAUGAUGGGUCUUAUCGAACAGUAAUUAUGAUAUCGAGCUGUACGUAAAAAUAGCUGUAGGUUUAAUAAUUCGAUGGACCUGUCAUCUAAAAGUAUAUAGAAGGGUGUAUCAUGUAUGUAUCUAUCACCGGUUUUGAAACGUUGUAGAUAUAUAUUUUUUUUAAUUAAGGCCAUUUGUAGUAUUAUGUUUCGUUUAAAGAUUUUAUUCAUUAUAAAAAAAAGUUAAAAGUUUGGGUGUUGUUAUUCAUUAUUGGUACGCGUCGCAUUAACUAAUUGAGAACCAGACGGAUCAAAGAAAAUCUUAAACGAUGUCGGCAAUUUAGUCAAAGUUUUGCUUGUAAACCAAUUAGACCACACCUACAAGUGACUACUAUAAUUUGUGAUAUUUCAUAAGAUAUCACUGUCUUGAUAGAUAUUUAACGAACAAAAACAAACGAGUAACCAUCAAUUAUUUGGCUUAGUGUCACUAUUUAGUUGGAGGCAAAGAACUAUUUAGUUGGAUGAAAAGAAGAUGGCUUUGAAUCUUUGAUAAUUAUGAAUCAGAUGACUAGACAAAAGGAUUGACAGGCGAGCAUACGUGGCGGCGGAUUACGACCAGCAAGACUAGCAAGCACUAGUCGUUCGUUAAUCUUAAUUAUUGAUUUGCUUUUCAACUUACGAAGAUAAAAUUUUGUUAUCCAAGUUUAAAACUUCAAGAGGGAUUGGCUCGGAGUCCAGAGACAGCUAGCUGUGAUCCACACGUGUGCUUAUAGAUUCUUUCCGCAUAUUUAUGUAGGAGUGUAGGACCAUUCAUUACAAAAUAACGAAGAACAAAUUAUCUCAAAAGUUUUUUUUACACUAAAUGUAUCCAUUGUUUUAUUGGUUUUGAGACAUAUUUUGUUGUAGCCAACUUAGUGUUAUAAACCAAAUGAUGAUCGACCAUGGACCAGUCCGUACUGCAGGCUCAAUCCGGGACAUGAUAAAGACAACCAGAGACUAUAUGUUUAUCUAGUAUAUAUUCCAUGUAUAUCUGUAACAUAGUGUUUAUCCUUAUCCUUAUCUUGUUAGGAUAAACAUAACCUUAUGACGGUCUAAUACCUUGUAUAUAUAUGGACCUUCUGGUCGACAGUAAUAAUAACAGAUGUAUUUCCCCAACACUUCAUUUACAACACGUUAUCAGCACGACGUUGCUCUCAUAAACCCUAACCCUAAAAACCAGAAAUAAAUCCGAGCAGUAAAAACCCUAAUUCCCGACGAACUUCAAACAACUCUAUCCCUCAACUCCGGUGGAUACAGACGACGAGCCAGAUACCAAAUUAAAGCUCUUGACGAGACGAAGCCAACGCCGCUAACCCCGCAUCAAUCGGAGUUCGGACGCGCCCUCACGCUCAGCUACAAUACAGGCGGAAAAUUUGUUCCAAAAAUCAAAAUCUCUCUCAACCAUAUACCAGUCUCCUAUUCCAACAAGCAGCAACAAAAACAAUAAUUCCUAGCAAUCCAUCGGCUAACUAGGAAAAUCUCUAACUGAUAGACCGAUCAACCCAUCAAAAGUCUUCAGGUAUCAUCGAAAACUCAUAUAAAACCCAUAAAAGUAUUAAAUACCCCCAUCCGCAGCCAUGUAGCUAUAUAUAGCAACAUGUUUCUGCAAAUAAAAUAAAACCAGAAACCAUAAACUCUUUAAAAUCUCGAACCUGAACUUGUUUUGAACCUGUUCUUAAUCUAAAACUGAUUUUAAAAUUGUUUAAAACUUUUCCUGAUGAUCGUUUCACAUUAGAACUGUUUAGGAUUAAAAGUUAAACAAUUUUUUUAAAAUCUGACUGAUAUAUGUUGAAAGAAACCGACUGUUACUUGCUUAAACUUAUCAUUAUUGUCCUGUUUAAUGUUCUUAUCUGAUCUGAAUCAACUAGAACUGUUAAGGACUGCAUGUUACAUAAUUUUUUUUGAAAAUCUGAUCAUGGUUUCAUAAAUUAAUCCGAGGUUUUACCUCCUGUUCUUGUCUGAGAAAUUUGUUUUCCUGAUGAUUGAUAACGACUAGAACUUGAUUAGGAUUGAAAAAAAAAUAUUUUUUAAUAUUUAAAAUCGAAAUAUCAGAGAUAUAUCUGAGAAAAUAUAUUUAUUUUUUAAAUCGAAAAGUAUAUAAUAAAUUGCUUGAAUAAAUCAAAUCUUCCUGAUUUUUUUUAAGUCACAAUAAUUUCUGAUUUGAUUAUUUUUCGAAAAAAUAAUAAUAAAUAUAUGGUAUAUUUUUCGAAAACCCUAACCUGAUUUCAUGAUUGAAUUGGUUUGCUUGAUUGCAUAUUGUUUGCAUACUAAUAUUGCAUACUGAACAUGAAAUCUCGACUGUUAGGGAUAUAGAUCAUUCAUAGUUUUCAAGCAAUCUGAUCUGAACUGAAAAAAAAANNNNNNNNNNNNNNNNNNNNNNNNNNNNNNNNNNNNNNNNNNNNNNNNNNNNNNNNNNNNNNNNNNNNNNNNNNNNNNNNNNNNNNNNNNNNNNNNNNNNNNNNNNNNNNNNNNNNNNNNNNNNNNNNNNNNNNNNNNNNNNNNNNNNNNNNNNNNNNNNNNNNNNNNNNNNNNNNNNNNNNNNNNNNNNNNNNNNNNNNNNNNNNNNNNNNNNNNNNNNNNNNNNNNNNNNNNNNNNNNNNNNNNNNNNNNNNNNNNNNNNNNNNNNNNNNNNNNNNNNNNNNNNNNNNNNNNNNNNNNNNNNNNNNNNNNNNNNNNNNNNNNNNNNNNNNNNNNNNNNNNNNNNNNNNNNNNNNNNNNNNNNNNNNNNNNNNNNNNNNNNNNNNNNNNNNNNNNNNNNNNNNNNNNNNNNNNNNNNNNNNNNNNNNNNNNNNNNNNNNNNNNNNNNNNNNNNNNNNNNNNNNNNNNNNNNNNNNNNNNNNNNNNNNNNNNNNNNNNNNNNNNNNNNNNNNNNNNNNNNNNNNNNNNNNNNNNNNNNNNNNNNNNNNNNNNNNNNNNNNNNNNNNNNNNNNNNNNNNNNNNNNNNNNNNNNNNNNNNNNNNNNNNNNNNNNNNNNNNNNNNNNNNNNNNNNNNNNNNNNNNNNNNNNNNNNNNNNNNNNNNNNNNNNNNNNNNNNNNNNNNNNNNNNNNNNNNNNNNNNNNNNNNNNNNNNNNNNNNNNNNNNNNNNNNNNNNNNNNNNNNNNNNNNNNNCUCACUAAUGGUACAUCACCCACGUCCAGCCUAAAGCUUAAGGACAUUAUGUAUAUAAAUAUUGAUUUACAUCAGGCCAUACAUGUAAGCAUAGACAUUCCCACCUCUGAAUGAUUAAGGGUCAUAAACCAGACAUAUACACAAACCAUCUUAAGAAAAUACGAAUAUUCCACCACAUAUAUGUGUGCCAUUUAAGAUGGAACCUCAGAUGAGGAUUGGGAAUAUAUAUUAGAUAAAUAAGACUUCCUCCACGAAACUAUAAUGUAUCUUGUGCCAAACAAGGAUGAUUUAAUCAAGUGGUCAAGAACACAGAUUACAAAAGAUAGUAAUCUGAUUAUCCAACUUUGAAAGGAGAAAGUUAUCAGGCUGAUAAAGAGUAAAGAGUAAAAGAGAAAUAUAAUGGUAUCAACCAUAGUUGUCUUGGCAAGAUCCUCAGACCAAAGAUUAUGAUCUAGACGUUCUAAAAGAAUAUGAUCAAAAGAUAUAAAAGCUAGCAGAAAUAUAUGCCAGACACACUGAACCGAAAAGAAAAAAUGACUAUGUCAUACCAGCUUAAGCACCACGAAUUUGAUGUCUAAGAGACACAAUCAAGUUGCUACAAUGUCUAUUAGAGAUAGACAAAUAAGUUCCAAAUAAUAAGGAACCUCGGAAAGUAAUGAAAGGUGCUCAGAAUCGUACAAAUCCGAGUUCAUAAGAGAAACCAGUCCAGACAGAGAAAUAAGGUUGCACAACCACACGUCUAAGGUACCAGACCAUGUAGUUUGGGACGCCAAACUGCAAGGUAUAAAGGUCUUGGAUAAUAAGAUCUCAAAAUCUAAUUAGAUCAUGUCUGGAACAGUAUGAAACUAAAGAUAAAGAGUGUUAACACCAAAGAUGUAUUUACAUACAUAAGAGCUCAUAAAAGAUUGUAGUACUUGGGAUUUGAAGGAUAUAACCUGAGGAUCAUGAACCCACGUAGAGUACUCAUAAAACCUAUAUAGGGACGUGGGGUGUUCAAAAAAUUCAAAGUAAUUAUAAGACAGAUGGGCGUAGUAACCAUGUACAUACAGAAAAGCCAUCUAAGAAAGAAACCAGUGAAUGGAUCUUGUGAGAUAAGAAAUUCCGUGAGAUUAAAGGACAUGACCACAUGGUAUAGUGUGUCCAUGUUCCUUCUAAAUAACGUUCAAGUAUCUAAGUGAGAACCAUAAACCAGGAUAGUGACCAGAAGGAUGUCUGGUCGUGGCUUAAUGAUUAUAAGCAUUGCUAAAGCAAGAAAAGAUCGAUAACCAUGUACAAAGGACAUGAGUGUAUGACUGCGAAUUCAUUGUGUGAUGAGUUUCAUUGCAGCAAAUAAUUAUUGAUGGUAUGACCUUAGACACUCAUGAUUAUGAACGAAUAUAGACAAGGUCUAUAGCUCAACAUGGAUCGACAAAAGAAAAUAAAGAAUGAUUGGUUACAAUGGAUAAAGCCAUUGGCACAUACGAAGAGAUAUAAGUCCGAAUGAACGAAAGAUAUGAAGUAAAGUUGUUCGUAUGUGUUCUGGGUCUAUGACUCAAUAUAUAUUGAAUGUCCACGUUUUGGGAAAGCCAUAUAACCAAAGAGAAUCCGUGGGAUAUGAAAAAGGACCUGCAAGUAAAGUUUUAUUGCAGAUUAUAAAGUCCAUCCGAGCACCGUUUGAAGCACCAUCAGUUCAUCCAAAACUUACAAGUUCAUUCAAGGAGAAUCCAGCUGAUCAUCUUCACCAAGUCAUAGGCAACUUCCAAGAAGACUCGGAUACCAGAUGGGAAUGCGUCUACUACAGUGAUGCAUUCAUCUGGGGGAGUUCAUGUGUUGUACUCUUUUUCCUGUCCUUAGUUUCCCAUUUUGUCACAUUGGUUUUGGGGUUUUUCAGGAGAGGUUUUAAUGAGGCAAUAUUAAGCAUGCAACGAACCUGUACCGGAUGUGUCGAUCAAAGGGGAGUGUUAUAAACCAAAUGAUGAUCGACCAUGGACCAGCCCGUACUGCAGGCCCAAUCCGGAACAUGAUAAAAACAACCAGAGACUAUGUGUUUAUCUAGUAUAUAUUCCAUGUAUAUUUGUAACAUAGUGUUUAUCCUUAUCCUUAUUUUGUUAGGAUAAACAUGACCUUAUGACAGUCUAAUACCUUGUAUAUAUAUGGACCUUCUAGUCGACAGUAAUAAUAACAAAAGUAUUUUCCCACACUUCAUUUACAACACUUAGCAUAUAAUUCGAGUUUCUGGCGAAUUUAGUUGUAGUCUGUUAACCAGGUGAUCUAUCCGUCUUCAUAGCAGGUGUCCACUGAUCAGAUGGAGAAACUUUUUUUACUAUUUUGUCGAUUUAUUUGAUCAGCUGUCCAAGCGUGUAUUGGGAUUCUUCACCGCUUUGGCAGUUUGGCGAUUCCUCUCUCCAAAUAUGAUUAAAAACAUGUAUCAAAAUAUAUGUCAAAUUUUCUAAUGUUAGGUUGUCGAUAUAAACGAUAGUAUAUAGUCCCAAUCAGACAUGUAAUGCUGCUGCAGCCUGCAGGAGGCCACCCGCCAAAAAUACAAACCAGACCUGUUUUGAAUAGUGAUAUGUAAAGAACAUAUGGCUUUAUAUUUUUUUUUUGCGGAUAUCCACAAAAAACACAUUCCAAUAGCCGGCAUGCAGUCCACUGUAACAUUCAGUCUCCAGUUGUUAGACGAUUGUAUAUGGCUAGCCAUAUUUCAAAGGAGAAUUUUGGUGUUAAAUGCUUGAACCAAACUUCUUAACUCCAUACUUUGAUAUUACUUCUUAACUGCUUGAACCAAGGAGUAAUAUAAUUGCUAGCUAUUUGUUGUACACUCUCGAUCAUAAAUUUUUUGAAACCAUUAAAACUGUUAUAUUAAACACAUCGACUAAAAGCUACUACUUCUAUAUGUUAUAGGUUUAUGUUAUCAUGUGAUUCAUGUCCAUAUAUAAAAGCAUCACCUCGAACCCAAGAAAAAAACCAUCACCCAAAUUAGUUUCUGAAGUGGGCUUACAUCCGAUUAAUAUAAGGCCAUUUAAAACUUGAAGAUAUUAUUCAUGCAUAGUCCUGAGAGAAUAGGCUCUAUGCUAGAUCAUUAGUAGAUGUAUAGACACUGUUAACAAAAAAAUAUAUGUAUAAACAAAUAAAAGAAAGAGAAUAACGAAAAUCGUAUAUGUUAACUAGGUCUGAGACGGAUCGGAUAUCCGGACAAUUUUAAGGUAUCCGGAUCCGGAUUUUUAUUCGGCGGAUCCAUAAUUUUACUAUCCUUAUCCGGAUCCGAGGUUCUCGGAUAUCCGGGUGUCGGAUAUCCUUCUAAAAAUUGUAAUAUCCGGUGGAUAUCCGGAUCCGGAUUUGGAUCCUUAAAAAUAAAUAAAAAAUAAUAUUAAUAUAUAUAAAAUAUUAAAAUAAUUUUAAAAUAAAAAAUAUAUAAUGUUUUUAAUUAUUUCUAUGUAUAAUAUUACAAAAUUUACGUAAAAUUUACAUAUACUAUUAUAAAAAUGAAAAUAUAUUAAAUAAAUUUAAUUUUUAUUUAUAGAUAUUACUAAUUUUGAAAUAGUUAUAAAUAAAACUUACGGAUCCGGAUAUCCGGACGAAAAAAUCAAGAUAUCCGGAUCCGGAUCCGGAUCCGAUUUUGACGAUCCAACAUUUUAGUAUCCGGAUUCGGAUUCGGCCCCUCCGAAUAUCCGAAUUUUCGGAUCGGAUCCAGAUCAAAUCUCGGAUCGAAUCCGGAUAUCAGAUAAAAGUCUCAGACCUAAUGUUAACCACAGGAGAAGGUCGAGUUCGUGUACACAGAGCUGCUUGAUAACCCCAAGCAUCCUUACUUCUACUCUGUUUCCCUCCAAGGAAUCUCCGUCGGAAAACGGAAUAUUCCUGCUCCGGCGAUGCUCAGACGAGUGGAUAGAAACGGAGGCGGAGGAGUGGUCGUUGACUCGGGGACGACUUUCACGAUGCUUCCGGCGAAAUUCUACAAUUCGGUGGUGGAGGAAUUUGAUAGCCGGGUCGGGCGGGUACACGAACGGGCUGAUCGGGUCGAACCGAGUUCGGGAAUGAGUCCUUGCUACUAUCUUAACCAGACGGUUAGAGUUCCGGCUCUGGUUUUGCAUUUUGCCGGGAACGGAUCCAGUGUUACGCUCCCCAGGGGAAAUUAUUUUUACGAAUUUAUGGACGGUGGAGAUGGGAAAGUCUGAGACGGAUCGGAUAUCCGGACAAUUUUAAGGUAUCCGGAUCCGGAUUUUUAUUCGGCGGAUCCAUAAUUUUACUAUCCUUAUCCGGAUCCGAGGUUCUCGGAUAUCCGGGUGUCGGAUAUCCUUCUAAAAAUUGUAAUAUCCGGUGGAUAUCCGGAUCCGGAUUUGGAUCCUUAAAAAUAAAUAAAAAAUAAUAUUAAUAUAUAUAAAAUAUUAAAAUAAUUUUAAAAUAAAAAAUAUAUAAUGUUUUUAAUUAUUUCUAUGUAUAAUAUUACAAAAUUUACGUAAAAUUUACAUAUACUAUUAUAAAAAUGAAAAUAUAUUAAAUAAAUUUAAUUUUUAUUUAUAGAUAUUACUAAUUUUGAAAUAGUUAUAAAUAAAACUUACGGAUCCGGAUAUCCGGACGAAAAAAUCAAGAUAUCCGGAUCCGGAUCCGGAUCCGAUUUUGACGAUCCAACAUUUUAGUAUCCGGAUUCGGAUUCGGCCCCUCCGAAUAUCCGAAUUUUCGGAUCGGAUCCAGAUCAAAUCUCGGAUCGAAUCCGGAUAUCAGAUAAAAGUCUCAGACCUAAUGUUAACCACAUGCAUUAUACGUGGGAAUGAAUUUGGGGACUGCGCAAUAAAGUUUCAGUCUUGCUAAUAUUUCCAAAGACGAACUUAAAUGUAAAAACACAGACCUUUUUCAAGUCUUCAGAUUUUUUUAACAAAUUAGAGGAUGACGCGUAUCCUUUUUGUCGUUUUCACUGAGAAUAUCUUCUUUCCCUCUCUCGUUGUUACCUUGCCCUCCCACAAAGAUCCAAAAAAGAACUAUAAAGCUUAAAAUCUCAGAGAGCCAGAUAGUAUUAUAAAGGAGAAGAAACCCUAACAUUAAGUAGCUUUGAAACUCCCUCUGCUGAAUCAUGGCCGCCGUCCCUGAAGGAUAUUACGAAUCCACAAACCCGUUUCUUGUUCACGGGCCAAGAGGUUUUGAAGAGUUCAAGUUGCUUGAGAGUUUUGGAAUGUACGUGAGGAUGGACUUUCCCGGCGUUCCGGAGGAGUGCGUGAGGGUUUCUCUAGACCCGGCGAAGAAAUCUUUGGCUGUCUACGCAGAUGCUCCCAAGGUCCACAGAUACGACCUCGCUCAACGGAAGUACCUCUCCGUCAUCGAAACCGUCUGCAGAUGCUGCGUGUUCGACCGCUUCACUUACCAAAUGUCCGACGGUGUUUUAAGGCUUCAUCUCUCCAAGUCUAACAUCGAUCCAAGUCACUCUUCCUGCAUCGGUACGUACGAGACUUUUCUUUUUCUAUUUUCUUGUUCUUCAUACAUUUAAAUUUAUUAAUUAGAGUAUAGGUGAAUGAUUAGAUUAAUUUUCUGAUUCUUUUUGUUUUCUACAGAGUUUAAAUAUUCUGCUUUCGGAGAAGGUAUUUUCACAUUUAUUCCAUUUCAAUCGAUAUUUUGAAAAAAUGUGUUUACUCAUUUGCCUGUAUUUGUGCUUGUAGAUAUCUCUGGCAAUGACAUGGACGAGUCGUAUGAGUCGAAGCAGCUCGAAGACGGCAAUUAACAUUUUAGUAUCCGGAUUCGGAUUCGGCCCCUCCGAAUAUCCGAAUUUUCGGAUCGGAUCCAGAUCAAAUCUCGGAUCGAAUCCGGAUAUCAGAUAAAAGUCUCAGACCUAAUGUUAACCACAUGCAUUAUACGUGGGAAUGAAUUUGGGGACUGCGCAAUAAAGUUUCAGUCUUGCUAAUAUUUCCAAAGACGAACUUAAAUGUAAAAACACAGACCUUUUUCAAGUCUUCAGAUUUUUUUAACAAAUUAGAGGAUGACGCGUAUCCUUUUUGUCGUUUUCACUGAGAAUAUCUUCUUUCCCUCUCUCGUUGUUACCUUGCCCUCCCACAAAGAUCCAAAAAAGAACUAUAAAGCUUAAAAUCUCAGAGAGCCAGAUAGUAUUAUAAAGGAGAAGAAACCCUAACAUUAAGUAGCUUUGAAACUCCCUCUGCUGAAUCAUGGCCGCCGUCCCUGAAGGAUAUUACGAAUCCACAAACCCGUUUCUUGUUCACGGGCCAAGAGGUUUUGAAGAGUUCAAGUUGCUUGAGAGUUUUGGAAUGUACGUGAGGAUGGACUUUCCCGGCGUUCCGGAGGAGUGCGUGAGGGUUUCUCUAGACCCGGCGAAGAAAUCUUUGGCUGUCUACGCAGAUGCUCCCAAGGUCCACAGAUACGACCUCGCUCAACGGAAGUACCUCUCCGUCAUCGAAACCGUCUGCAGAUGCUGCGUGUUCGACCGCUUCACUUACCAAAUGUCCGACGGUGUUUUAAGGCUUCAUCUCUCCAAGUCUAACAUCGAUCCAAGUCACUCUUCCUGCAUCGGUACGUACGAGACUUUUCUUUUUCUAUUUUCUUGUUCUUCAUACAUUUAAAUUUAUUAAUUAGAGUAUAGGUGAAUGAUUAGAUUAAUUUUCUGAUUCUUUUUGUUUUCUACAGAGUUUAAAUAUUCUGCUUUCGGAGAAGGUAUUUUCACAUUUAUUCCAUUUCAAUCGAUAUUUUGAAAAAAUGUGUUUACUCAUUUGCCUGUAUUUGUGCUUGUAGAUAUCUCUGGCAAUGACAUGGACGAGUCGUAUGAGUCGAAGCAGCUCGAAGACGGCAAUUUAUACGUGCGUUUAGACAUGCCAGGCGUUCCCAAGGACAACUUCACUGUCUCAGUGGCUAACGGCAAAGUAAACGUGACUGGUCAAGCUCCUGCUCUUGACCACGACUCAGGUUCUCGGUUGUACUCUAGCGACGUGGUUAUCCUCUCCGGUCCUGUCGACUUUCCUAGCCAUCAGGUCAAAACCAUCAUCAAGAACGGUGUCAUUAGACUCCUCAUCCCUCCCGUUUGAUAUCAUUAAUUAUGAUGACGUGGCUAAAGAUAUGUUUCUUUCUGUUUGUUAAGUGGACCUAUUUUGUUGGGAUUGAUUAAUAUUAGGAUCAAUGAGUUUGGAUAUAUUCCAAAAAGAAACAUUACUUCAAUUUGUGUAGCACUCUUAUCUUUUUUUUUUAUAUGAAUAUAUGUCUAACCAAAUAAAAACAAUAUGAUAAUAAUUAUGAACAAAUGAAAAGUGUAUUUUAUGUGUGCCUCAAGGCUGCAUUUACGAAGUCUACGAUAAAGCUGAAAACUUACCAAAUUUAGGCAAAGACCAACUUUGUUGUCUAUCUUGAUACAAGACAAAAACCUCAGAGCUUUCACCAGUGUAGAAACGAAAAGAUGAAAUUAAUAAAACUUAUACGUUUGUAUAUUAGUGGUAAUUAAUAAGAAAGAUGAUAUUUUCGUGUCACUGGAAACUGUUGAGGUGAACACGCAUCCUAGUACUAUCAUAUAGAUCACAUUCACAAAUGUAAAGUUAACACGUGUCAUAAGAGGGAUUGGUUGUCAUUUUCACCUGACAACCUCCCCAUACAGUCUCCAAAACCUCUCUAAAACCCUAGAGACAGUGAAAGAAAGAAAGAGAGAGAUCUCCAAAAAGAAAAAACACUAAAAUCCUAAUUAAAAACAGGAAAAUACUUAGCUGCCUAAGACCAUGAUUAUCGGGGUGCCUUAACCCUGGUUCUUAGCUUAAUUUUGAUUAAAAGAAAAACAAAAAAUUUUUUAAUCUAAGGAACGUCGCUUAAUUAAGCGUUACAAAAACCGUCGCUUGUGGACACGCGUCGUCCAACAACGAAGUCUCUAUCUCUCUCUCAUCCCUAUCUCUCUCGCGAAAGGAAGAAAGAUGCCGGUCUCGAUUCCGAAAUUUCUCUCGUGAUCUCUCCUCCAUGGAUGAUUCAGUCGGAGAUUCCCCCUCCCCUUCUUGAUUUCUCGUCGACUAUGAGAGAAUCGGCGUCUCUGUCGGUGCCUCCCCUCGAGGACUCCGCCGCUUUUUCGUGAUCUCUCUUUGACGACUCCGGAUCUCUUUGGUGAUCUCUCCUCCACGAUGAAUCACUGGACGUCUCUCUCUGUUGCUCUCCUCGAGGACUCCGCCUCUCUAUCUUAAUCGUCGAUUCCAAUACCAUAUAUCUCUCUCUCUCUCGACGACCGUUUGAGCUCGGUCUAAUGGAAAGGUAAAGCAACAAUUUUAUUUGCUCAAUAGGUCUUAAUCCUUCAUGCAUGUCUUAGAUUGUGCCUCUUAUAAUUGAUUUUGAUUUGAUUUUGAUUUUUUUGUUCUGCUGGUUUGGAUCUGUUGAUUUUGUCUCUUGUGUUUGUUUAGAGUUCGUGAUGAAUAUAUAUGUGAUCUGGUUCUUUGUGAUUUUUUUCUGUCAUUGGGAGAUGGUUGGAGCGUUGAAGACACACGAAGGUUCGUCAGACCAGAGAACACAUGAAGGUUCAUCAGACACAUGAAGGUUCGCCAGACCAGAGAACUACAAUUGCAACAGAGGUAAAUGCAUAUUUCUUUGCUCUUUUAAAUUGAUUGAAAGUGUGAUAAAAUAGCUGUGAAUAUUUUCGUUGGUUGUUUUUGAGAAAUGGUUCACAUAGAGGUUGAUUAGUUCGUGUAUCUGUUCACAUGAAUUGAUUGUGUAUCUGUUCUAAAUUGAUUAGUUUGUAAUAAAUGGUUAGCUUAUGGUUGCUAAUAAAUAUCAUCUGAUGGUUAGAUAGAAAUAGAUUUGAAGUGUUAUGAAUGUGUGUUAGAUAUAUGUCAACUCGUUUAUGGUUGGGCCGAUCUAUUAAACACAAUGCCUUUGCUUUCUCUCUUCUAUAAAGUGUUUCUUCUUCUCUUCUAUCUAUCUAAAACAAAGUUAUUAGCUUCAUCUCUUCUUUAAAUCAUCUCGGAUAUGGAUUCUCUUCCAAAUACGCUGAGGCAAAAGUUUGUUGAACUUCUAAACAGUCAACAAAACAUUGUCUUUGGUUUAUCUGAAGAUAGUCUCGAACUAUCUUCAUCUCAAAUCCCUCUUUUUUACUCGCAACCGAUGGAAGAUUCCAACUUUGUGGAAGGCACUCCUGCAGAGCGUCGAAAAAGGAGGCACUAGACGCCGGUAGAUGAUGUUGUGCUCAUUAGCUCCUGGCUAAAUACAACCAAAGAUCCAGAUGUAUCGAAUGAGCAAAAAUCCGGAGCUUUCUGGAAAAGGAUUGCAGCAUACUUCGCUGCAAGUCCUAAGGUGUAAGGCUGUGAAGUAAGGGAGGCGUCCCACUGCAAGCAGCGUUGGCACAAGAUUAACGAUCUAGUCAACAAGUUUUGCGGGGCAUAUGAAGCUGCAAGUAGAGAGAGAAGCAGUGGUCAAAAUGAGAAUGAUAUUCUUAAGCUAGCUCAUGAGAUUUUCUUCAACAACCAAAAAAAAAAUUAACCUUGAACAUGCUUGGAAGGAACUUCGAAAUGAUCAGAAGUGGUGCGAGCUUAAUACUUGUAAAGCCGAUGGAAGUGCAAAAAGGAGGAAGCUUGAUGAGGGUGCAAAUUCUUCAACCUCUCACGCGUCUGACAACAAUACUGGUGGAGCUGAUCAAGCAGCCACUCGGCCCCUGGGUGUUAAGGCAUCUAAGGGGCAUGGUAAGCAAAAGACUAAGGCAGAGGCGAAGUCGGCGUCUGAGUUUCAGAGCAUGUGGAGCAUCAAGAAGGAGGAUAUGGCCAUGAAGGAGAGGCUGUCGAAGAUGAAGCUGUUGGAUAGUCUUAUUACAAAACCAGAAGUGUUGCAUGAGUAUGAAGAAGCGCUGAAGAAGAAGCUUAUUUCUGACUUGUUGUCUUAAGCUUUGAUGCUUUUAAGUUGAUGUUGUCUAAGUCUAAUUAGGUUAAAUGUUUAAAUAUUUGUGUUUGUGUUUCUGUUUAAACUCUUUGUUGUUUAAAUCUGUGUUUGUGUUUCUGUUUCUUGUUCUUGUAAUGGUUAUUGAUUAUGGAAAUGCCUAUGUUUGUGUUUCAUGUUCUUGUUAUCGUUAUUGAUUAAGGAUGCGUUUGUUGUUCAUUCUGUUAGCUUAAAAAUUAUUGAAGUGUGCUCUCGUCUGAAGCUACUGUCACGGACUUGCUCUCAUCUGCAAUCAGGUAACUUUGAUCACUUGUUUGUGUCGUCUUGUGUCAUGGACAUAACUCUGAUCACUUGUUUGUAUCUUCUUGUGUCUUAUUGUCAGGGUGGAGAAGCUGCUUCUCCUCUGAAGCUUGUGUCACAGACACACUGUUUGUGGAGGCUGUUUGUGUCACGGGGAAGCUGUGUAGUUGUGUCUUUUUGUGUCUUAUUGUCACGGGGAAGCUGUGUGAUCCAUUGACUACUUGUGUCUUAUUGUCACGGGAAUUUUGUGUACUUGUGUCUUAUUGUGUAAAACUUGACAAGCUGUGAAGUUGUAUAUAAAUGUUGUAUUGCACAAAGAUUUUAUUCACAAUCUCAUCUUCUCUCUUCUCGUGUUCUAUAUAAAUUUGGUGUUCUGCAAACUUUACAAUCUCAUCUUCUCUCCUUUAUCUCUUUCUCUCCUUGAUCUAUAUAAGUUUGGUAUUGUGCAAACAUUACAAUAUCAUCUUCUCUCCUUGGUCUAUAUACAUUUUUAUCAACAAAAUCAUCUUCUCUCUUUUAUCUCCUUGUUCUUGUUUGAUAUAAAGAUUUUAAAAUUCUUCAUUUCCAUCAUAAAUUUUAUUCACAAAUUCUCCGUUCUUUCCUUUGUCUAUUCCCAAUCUCAUUAUCCAUUCUCUUCUUAAUCAUCACAAAGUAAUCAAUUUUUUUUUCACAUAUAUGGCAUCUUCCUCUCAUAACACUUUUGAGGGAGUAGCUGAUGCAAGUUUUGAUCAAUAUUUUGAUGAACAUUUUGAUCAAGCUUUCGAGAAUUUUGCCAUUGCUUCCGGUGAUCAAGACGAAAGAAAAAAAUGAAUUUAUAUCGAAAGAAAUCGAGAAGAAGGCGAUGUACGUUUAUGGAACGAUUAUUUUAGUGAAACUCCAACUUACCCUGAUAAUCUCUUCCGUCGACGAUUUAGAAUGAACAAACCAUUGUUCAUGCGUAUUGUUCAUCGACUCUCCAAUGAAGUUGAUUUCUUUCGCCAAAAGAAAGAUUGUCUUGGAAGGCUUAGUCUCUCUCCACUUCAAAAGUGUACAACAACCAUUCGUCUCAUGGCAUAUGGUAGUGCGGCUGAUACUUUUGACGAAUAUCUCCGACUCGGUGCAACUACUACUCGGUCAUGUCUGGAAUAUUUUGUGGAAGGAAUAAUAAAUUUAUUCGGCGAGGAGUACCUAAGAAGACCAACACCGACUGAUCUUCGACGUCUGCUUGAUAUUGGUGAACAUCAUGGAUUUCCCGUGAUGAUAGGAAAUAUCGACUGUAUGCAUUGGUAGUGGAAGAAUUAUCUCACCGCUUGGAAAGGUCAAUAUUCACGUGGUUCGGGAAAACUAACAAUCGUUUUAGAAGCGGUUGCUUUCUAUGAUCUAUGGAUAUGACAUGCGUUUUUUGGACCUCCAGGUACCUUAAAUGAUAUCAAUGUUCUUGAUCGCUCUCAUGUUUUCGAUGACAUAAUAAAAGGUCAAGCUCCGCAAGUCACUUUCUCUGUCAAUGGAAGAGAGUAUCAUUUGACUUACUAUCUCACCGACGGUAUUUAUCCGAAAUGGACAAUUUUUAUCCAAUCUAUUCCAAUACCACAAGGGCCGAAAGCGGUUUUAUUUGCUCAACAUCAAGAAGCGGUCUGAAAAGAUGUGGAGCGUGCUUUUGGAGUCUUGCAAGCUCGCUUUGCCAUCGUUAAAAAUCCAGCACUUUUUUGGGAUAAAGUCAAAAUUGGAAAGAUUAUGAGAGCAUGUAUCAUACUCCAUAACAUGAUAGUAGAAGACGAACGAGAUGGAUACACUCAAUAUGAUGUUUCAGAGUUCCAACAAGGAGAAGGCACCAGAGGUUCACAAGUGGAUCUCACGUAUUCUACAGAUAUCCCAACAAAUAUCGCCAAUAUGAUGGGCGUUCGAACUAGAAUUCAUGAUAGACAAAUGCAUCAACAACUGAAAGCUGAUUUGGUUGAACAUUUAUGGCGUAAAUUCGGACAAUAUCAAGACAACAACUGAGUUCGGAUGCUUCUUUCAAAUUAUUCUCGUUUAUUUUACUAAUCUUUUUUGUAAUGUUUUUUUAAAUCUAUGUUUAAAACGUUUUCUUUUAAUAUGUUCUAUUUAAUAAAUAAUUUUUAUCUUUAUAAAUUUUUAUCUUUAUAAAUUUUUAUUUAAAUAAAUUUUUUAUUUUUAAGAAUCCCAAAUUAAGAAACCUAUCAUUGGAGCUCUAAAAAUAGGGGUCUCUUGACUAAAAGUUCUUAACCAUUAUUAAUUACUAAAAGAUCAUUAAGAGACCCAUUUGGGUCUUUAGGGUUCAUGCCGGUCUUAAACAUUGGUCCCAUUUGACCCAAAAAAAAACAUUGGUCCCAUCCCUUAAUGUCAAGUUUAAUUUUUUUGUUAUUAUUCAAAUUAUUAAUCGUUAUGAUAUAAUCAUAUAGACAUAAUUAACCGUACGUGUAUAGUAAUGAGUUUGGUUAAUAAACGCAAGGAGCAUUGUUUCACAAAUAAGAAGUGGACGCGUGCCCCCUUCCCUAGCAGUUUUUGUCGUUUUCACCUGACAAUAUCUUCCUUCCCUCCUCGUCGCCUUGUCUCCCAUAAAGAUCAGCGUGUGAGAGAGAGAGAGAUUUAUAAAGGAGAAGCAACCCCAAUAUCCAGUUGCUAAAAACCUCCAUCUGUUGAAUCAUGGCCGCCGUUCCUCUUCCUGCCGUCCCUCAGUCUCCCGGUAAACUUCUUCUAAAACCAAUAAGAAGCUCAAACUUAUGCAGUUUUCUCGUUUACUGAGAUUUUUUUCACUGAUAUUUCUUUUCCGUGUUUGAUUGAUAGCAGAAGGGUUUUACGCAAUCAACAACGAGUUUCUCAUGAAUGGGCCAAAAGGGUUUCAGGAGUACAAGAUGCUUGAGAACGAUAUCAUGUUCGUGAGAAUGGAUUUUCCCGGCGUUCCAGAAGAUGGCGUUAGUGUUACUCUUGAACCCUCCAAGACCCUUGUGAGUGUCAGCGCCCACGCACCCAAGGUCCAUACACACGACUUCUCUCACCGGAACUACCUCAUCAUCACCGGACUCGUAUGCGGAUGCUGCGAGAUCUCCGGCUUCACCUACCACAUGACCGACGGUGUUCUCAGGCUUCAUCUCUCCAAGACUAACAUCCUCCAUCCUCAACGCUCUUCCUGCAACUGUAACCCAUUAAUUAUCUAUUUUAGUUUAUUAUAUAUACCGAAUCAUUCAAAAUUUUACUUUAUUUAUAUCUUACAAUUAAAAAUAAACUGAGUUACGUUGUUUUUUUGGUCAGCGUUUCUCGGUGGCAUACGUUUCAGAGGAGAUGGUAAUUUUAUUUUAUUUUCUUUUGAACUUUUUCUUACACUUUGUAAAUGUUUUUACCGUACUCUCCUCUAUAUAUGUGUGGUCGCAGAUCUCUGUCGAUGUCCUCAGAGGCUUCCCUAUAACAGGGAUCCUUAUCGUACGUGUUAAUUUUUAAUUAAUACUACUAUAUAAAUUAAUCAUAUUAUGAUUCAGUACUAUGUUUGGUUUAUUAAUUUGUCAUUGUGGUAAUUCCUAUGUGUGGAAGAGCAGACCCGGAUUUAACGGGUCCGUUGUUGAUUCCUCACCCGAAUGUGCGUCAAGGAACGACUAUGGCUUAUGAGUCAAAGCAGCUCGAGAGCGGCAGCCUAUACGUGCGUUUAGACAUGCCAGGUGUUCCCAAAGACAACUUCAACGUCUCCGUUUCGAGCGGGAGAGUCAAGGUGACUGGUCAAGCUCCUGCCGUUAGCCAUGACUCCGACGGUCGCUUCUACUCUGGUGACGUGGCUAUGCUUUCUGCUCCUGUUGACGUUCCUAGCCGUCCGAUCAAAACUAUCAUCAAGGAUGGUGUCAUUCGCCUCCUCAUCCCUUCCGUUUGAUGUGAAAAAACUCGUUCGCGUUUGAAAUAAUCUGUCUCCCGUGGUGGACCCCAGUUAUGUCGUUGCUUUGAGGAUUAUGUCAUUUUAUUUUAUGGACUUUAAUUUGGAUAUGUUCGCAACUGUUUUUUUUUAAAGCCCAUUCCCUUUAUGCACGAGUAGUGUUUUAACAACACUCGAUAUACAAGUUCAACACUACUUUGUUGAACCGUGCAAUAUACAAGUUCAACAAAGCUAGAGCUAAAACCGUAUGCUUCUCAGUUAUGGGAAUAUGUUGCUAAAGGUAUUCUGGGAUCUGCUUAUACUAAAGAUUGGUCUGAGAUACUGGUGAUUAUAUCGGAUGAGAAAAGGGAAAGAUGAGUAGAUUUUGUAUAAGAUAUGCAUUCCAGGUGGUGCUAUAUGCUGUGUGGAGAGAGCGUAACAAGCUAAGGCAUGGAGAGAAGCUGUUGCCUCUUCAAAUUAUCAAAAUACAGGUUGAGAAAGGAAUUAGAAACAAGAUCUCUUUGAUGAGAAUGGAUGAGGUGAAGGGUAUGGAGCAACUGAUGCAAUUUUGGUUUCUUACUAGAAUGUAAAAAGGAAGCUAAUAUGUAAGAAGGGGAGGGUAGUUGAUCUUGAGUUUUCUUUAUAGAAACAAAUGAUGCACUUGAUGUAUACAGGUUUUUUUGAAUGAAUCAAAAAAAAUAAAAAUAAAAAUAAAAUAAAAUAAAAUAAAACCGUACCAAUAAAUGGAAAAAAUGAGAGACUAAACAAAUCAGCAACACUCAAUUUCAUUACUCAAACUUCAACAAAACAAAAACAUCAAUCGAGGCAUUUCUCCAAAAAAGUUACCUUUUCUUUUUUGAAAUAAUGUUAAAUUUAUUCAAAAUUUUUUUUGUACAGACUGUUACAUUAACUGAAUGUUUUGAAAAAAGGAAAACAGAGACAGAAAACAAAGAAUCAUCUGUAGGAGAACCAAGUUUCCAUGGCCUUGUUAUACUUUCGAGCAUCCAACAUUCUCAAACUGGUUAUUCGAUUCCUAACCAGCUUGUCGAUGCGAGCGACCAAUACGGAUGUGGCCUUUGGCGUUUCACCAUGCCUUCUCCCAUUCAUUUCAUACCAAAUAGUGGAUAAGGUAGCUCCAAAAAGGUUACCAUUUAUAACAAAAACAUCAAAACAAAAACAUCAAUCUUAACAAAUUCAGUCUUUUUUUUCUUUCAACAGAGUUGGUUGAAUUAUUUGCAACUCGCAACUAUUUUUUAAUUCAAAUGGUAACCUUUUGGUGAAAUGUCAAAUUCACACCCAAUUAUUCCUUUAGCUGUGUGUAACCAUUUGCAUCUCAGACAAAGGGAUUUGUCUGCUAUAUAUAGCUCUAGCGAAAGAAAGAAAUAUAAUUUCUUGAGAAUGGCGCGUGGCUGAUGUGGUUGUUGUGGAUGCGUAGAGAGAAACUUAGUUGGGUGUUAUGUAGCUCUAUAUAGCGAUGUAUUAGUUGGUGACAUGCAGAAAAAUUGGUUGCUUGGGAAAAGGGAGAGAGGUGUAGGCUAGUUGCUCGAGAGCAUAGACAAUAGAUGAAGAUAAGGAAGAAGAGAGGAGAAAAAGAAACCGUUGUUAAUGUAAAUUUUACUUUUUCCAUGUCUCUUCCUCUUGAUCAUGCAUGUGUGUUAUUUCUUGUGGAUAACAAAGAGCUAAUUAACACGUUGAGUUCAUGUAAAAUGAUCUUCCAAUAGUUGAAAACAAGCUAGAACUAGUUGCAAAUUUGUAGUCGUCAAUAUGGAGACACGCCAGUUGUUUCUCUACACCGAUGCCUAUGGGGGAAAAUAAAAGCAACUUAAAAUCUAUAUGUGAUUGAUAGAGAACAGUCACAGAGCAGUUUGAACGGUGUUUCGCUUGCCGUUAAAAGCCCAUGUACGAGUUAACUAAGAUGAUUGAUCGAGUAAAUUAAACAUUAAGAGCCUCUCUUUUAUUAUGGAGUAGUGCUAAUUUUACAUUAGCCUCAAACAUCCUAGAUAAAACCUUACAUAUUAUUAUGAAACACGCGAUGAGGUGUGGUGUUGACAUAUAUCGACAACCACAUUCAUACACUCGAGGGUUUCGUUUGGAAUCUAGUAGGAGGGCCCAGGCAUGGUCUUCUGGAAGGGACAAACGCUAACUUGCGGGAUGUUGCAAACUUUAGGUAAGUGCGUAGCGGUCUGGUAGAUACGGCUCACCAUUUGCUGCUUUCCUUGCUGUUGUCCCUGUUGUUGAAUUUGUUGUUUAACCGCUUUGGAUGCUCCUUUCAAGGUUGGGCAAACGCAAAGGGGCUCUUCCUGGUGGAGCUCGUUACAGCACUGCUGGAGUAGAGGCGGUCUCUGCUGUGGACCCUGCGGGUUCUCCAUGUCGUCUUCAAAGUCAAACUCACCGUCGAGGGUCCAGCUAGGACCACCGCCAGACUGCAUUGCUUGCUUGUGGAGCCACUGCUGGCAAGCUCUUAGGUGUUGUGCUUGCUGAAACUCCUUCCUACAUUUUGGAAUCCUAAAUGGGCCGGCUGAGUUUGUGGCAUCAUCUUCGUCGAACUCGACGACCGUCCGGUAGAUGGAGGCAUUGGUGAGAAGGAAGAAGAAGGCGAGAGUUGCCGAGACGAGGAAGAGCUUGUUCGCCAUUCGUGUAUGUUUUUAAUCUUGUUUGUAUUGAUGAGUUUUGGUUUGAGUAAAGAGUGAAGCGGAUGAGUUAAUUUAUAGGCUAUAAAGGAGAUUUGCAUGGCGAUCACGUGUAAUAAUGCAUGCACGCAUGUGAUUGUAUGUGUGUGCUGUGAGAGAGAAGCUCUUAGGUGUUUGAAGGGAGUGACAAGUGGCGAAGAAAAACAAUUCUCCGCGGCUGCAUGCUAUGUGUAACGUGUAGCUAAUGUUCUGGCAUGGCAUCUUAUGAACGAUUCUUUUUAAAAACAAGGUAAAAACUUAACUUCAUAAAAUUAAAAAAAAAAACGUUUACUAAGUUGGUUUAAAAGGGGAUGAGAGUCUAUAAAUUUUGGAGGUAGUGCCGUUGGGAAUAUAAAUUGGGAGCUUAAUCAGAAUUAUAGAAGUUAAAGUUGAUUUAGUCACGGUCAAUAUAAAUUGGGAAUUUGAGUCAAAAUCUUCCAAAUUCGGAAUCCGUCUUGUUACACCCGGUGGAUAGGAGCCGAACGGUUUGAAAAUACUUGAAAUGUGGAUGCAGGUGCAGGCUGGUUUAAUUUUAUGUUGAAUGGAUACAUGUCAAUCGAAUUUGAGUUAUAGGUACACAUUUUACUCUGAUACUAAAAUGUAACAUUUGUCUCAAGAAUGGGUAGGUCAUCCUUACUCGAGAACGGUAUGCCAUUCACUUGAACGUAUAUCUCAUUCAACCCAACUCUAACACACAUUUCAUACCCAUGUCUAAAAUAAAGAAAAUUGAAGAAAAACGCUCAAUAGCGUCAAUCCUUACAAAUAUAAUGUACAUGGCAACCUCGCAUGAAAAUAGUAAUAAAGAGGAGUGAAUAAUAUAAAGUAGUCACUAAUUGGAUGACAAAGCAAAUGGAACCAUCCGAUAGAUGUUUUGAGAACAAGAGGUACAUUUGUAUAUAUGCAUUGGUUGAUACAUUUCUGCCAUCUGAAUUGUUUCUUCCUCAAAGAAGAAGCAUUCAGCCAAUAGUGAAAUUUAAAAUGUUGGAAAAAUGAGGAUGCAGUCAGAAAGUCCAGAAUAUAAGUGGUAACUGGUAACUGAAUACUUGCCUCAGAAGCAAGAUAAGAAACAUAAGUCUUUAAAGGAAUCAAUCACCGAUGAAGAAAGCUUAAGGAUUCAAGUCUAUAUUUGGCCACUAGAGACGUCCACGCUAGGCUUGUCUCUACAAAUGCAAACAACUUCAAGCAAGGCAGUGACAGGACAGAUAAUGCUUAGAGAAACCGUUGAAAAGAAGCAUAAAGCACAACUCCCUGAAUGAUCUAAUUAUUGGCUGAUCUAGGAUUUGCACUGACCAUAUUACUUCAAAGAUAGUUCCAUUUCAAGAAACAUAAACAGAGAACUUGAAUGAGAAAAUUCUAUUAUCAAAUUCAAAGGAUAUGAUAAUCAAAGAAAAAUUGCAAGAGUACAUAGACAAAUUCAGCAGCACAUAGAAAAACCCAAUUGAUCUGCGUAAAAACCCCAAUUCUCUCUUCUGUAUACAAAAUCACGAAUCCAUAUACUCUUCGAUUUUCAAAUCAAAACCAAAUAACCAGCCCUAAAUUAUAAAGUAAAAUCCCGAUCAAAACGGGUUAAUAAUUUUAUGAAAUAAUACAAAAAGAAACAGACUGAGAUCGGCAAAACCUCGACCAAUAAAUCAAACAACAUCGUCCUUCUUGGGUUUCCGAUAAUUCUUUUCGAUGUGCUCGACGAUGACGAGAACAGUGUUCGUCAGCUUCUUUACAUCGGGAACACCCCUCUCUACUACACUUUCUCCGGCGAAGUUUCAGGUUUGUAGUAGUGUUCUAUUUGCACUUGUAUAUGAAACUUUAAUGGGCCUUCAAUAUUUAUUUCUAAGGCCCAUAAUGGGCCCAAAACAAAUAAACCCGGCAUGCUCAUUCCCCUUGGUUACCACCCUUGCGUGCUUCUUGACCAAACCCAAAGUUGUUAGGGGUAAAAUACGUCAGAAACGUGAUCCCGGCAUAUCCGAGUAUCCUUUUUCCGAGGUAGUGUUAAGGUGCAGUAUUUCCCUCGUACACCGUCAUUAGAAUGAACGGUUAAGAUUUUCUCUCCAAGAUAUUAAUAAACACGUACCGUCAGAUACUAUUCUAAGCGUGCCACGUCAGCUGAGGAGUUCAGAUAUUAUCCCGCUCCAUCUGUAUACAAUCUUUUAUCCUUAUCGCGUAAUUUUUUAAAUGGUUAGCAGAAUUUUAGUAGGUUGCUUGAUUUUCGUUUUUCUUGGAUAUUCGGUUUGUUAAUUGUGUCGCUGUUUGUUAUCUUCAAACGAUAGCGUUGAGCUCUAGGAAAAGUGUGUUUGAUCGCAGAAAAGGCUUCGUCUUUUGUCUUGCAACAGGUUCGAUCAUGGAGUUCUUUUACCUUAUUGCGAUCUUGUACUUCGUUUUAGAUUAAGUUUAUGUUGAUCAAUCGAUUUAGGCUUUAAGGAGAGUCUCUACUAUGUCUUGUGAGAAAAAAGGGGGUUUCUGAAGUUUUUUGGGAUUUAAGACAUGAUCGACAGAUUAAAUGACUUCUCGGUUUGAUUCUGUUUUUGAUGGUUGUCUGAUUGGGGGGUUGUUAUUGUACAUGUAGGCUUAUAAGGAAUGGCAAAGAGCACAUUCAAGGAAGAGCAUGACCUAGGUUUGGAUCCUACCGUUUGUGUUUGAUUCUCAAGUAAACUUACUCACUUUUGGAUCUAAUGAUGAUUCUAUUUUCAGAGAAAAGAAGUGCAGAGGCUGCUCGGAUUAGAGAGAAAUAUCCAGAUAGGAUUCCGGUUAGUGCUCAGUGUUUUACAUUACCUAAACUCAUUUGUGAUUAGCAUAUUGUCUUCCUUUUCCAUGUUUGGACGAUCCCUUUGUGUUUAAGCUCUUGUUAUGUUUCAUGGCCCAGCAUCUAUCUGCCUAUAUUAUAGUUUUCCCUUUUUGUCUCUCUGUCUAGGUGAUUAUGAACUUAUCAUAUCUUUGCCUAUAGUUUUGUAGAUAACCAUCUGGCUUUAAAUAUACUCCUCCCAAUUAACAGUUGGUUAUCAAGUAAUCAACAUCUGAUUAGCCUCAUGCUUGUGCUAUAUAUAUAUAUAUAUGUAUAUAUAUUUUUUUUUGGCAUUGUAUCAACUGCUUUAUGGAGUUUUUUGAAUUCUACUGUCAAUAACGACGGUAAGAUUUCGAACUUGUUUGUUCUUUUUUGAAAUGUAGCUUUCGAAAACUUGGUUUUAACAAGUACUGCUUGGUAACACUUACGACUGAAUGGGUUGAUUUGCAUAGUUCAUAUUGGGAAGUGAUUAUUGAUUUUAUAUGGUUACUUAAAAGCCCCACUUGAGUGAUGAUUGUCACACUUUUUGUAUUUGUGUGGGAUCCAGGUGAUUGUUGAGAAGGGGGAGAAGAGUGAUAUACCAACCAUCGACAAGAAAAAGUAAGCAUCUUGAUUACUGUAAUCAAUGUACAUCUCCCUCGGACCUGGCCUGUGAUUGACAACUAAGCUUUUUUAUCCUGGAUGCAGAUACCUAGUCCCAGCUGAUCUGACAGUGGGGCAAUUCGUGUAUGUCAUUCGCAAAAGAAUCAAACUGAGUGCUGAAAAGGCUAUCUUUAUCUUUGUGGACAAUGUUCUUCCUCCAACUGGUAACACAGAUAACACCUACUGUAUUUCAAGACUUAUUAAAAUCAUUCUGAGACAUCUACUUUGGCAGGUGCACUAAUGUCUGCUGUGUACGAAGAGAAAAAGGAUGACGAUGGCUUUCUCUAUGUCACUUACAGCGGAGAGAACACAUUUGGAUCUCCAUAGAGAUCUCUUGCUGGAUAUUUCGUUUCUAUUUUACCUAUUUCGCCUGAGUAUUUCAUAUCUUAUUAUUAGUUAUCUAUGUACUACUUUCUCUAAGAACUUUAAGAUGGCCGUUAAUGUGUACAGAGAACAUAAAAAUAAUGUAGUAUAUAUAAUCUCAAAACCUACUUUGUCACGACUUGAUUGUGUUUUUUAUUUGACUUUCACUCAAUAAGCCGACAUAACAUGAUGCCCUGAUGUGCCACAGUAGUUACAGAGGCAAAAGAGUCUUAACUAAAUAGAACAGCAAUGGCCGGUUAUGGUACAAAAGGUCCCACAUUGUCGUUGACGGAGAGAGGAAGAGACGGUCGGACCAUGUUGCCUUGUUCUACUAACUCUCCACUCUGUCCAUGUUGAUUUUUGCUUCUUCAUGUUUAUUUGUCAAUCGUUAAAGCUUGCUCGAUUUAUGUAUUUAUGAGUGAUCCGUAAAGAUAUUAUCUCAUUCAAGGCGAGAAGGCCUCCUAACCAGUCACGUGAAACGUGAGACACGCGGUUGUGUCCUUAGGAAAAGAUAGGUACUUUGAAUAUUUAAGUGAAAGUUGAACGAAAAGGUUCAUAGCCAGUGUCUGUAAACUGAAUAGAUGGGGAUGUUAUCAUGUUAACGUAUGUAACAUGUCUAGUAGUGUCUUGAUAAGAAGAUGAAUGUCAUCUGAGUAUGACUUGCGAAUGUUACGUCAAACUAUUGUGUUAUAUGCUAAAUAUAUCUGAAUAAACUGCCGUGAAAUUGUACAAUAAAGAUGGGUUACGAGGGUAAGUAUAAGGUUUGCUAAUGGAAAAUGAGAGAUUGACCCCACACGAAGACUUAAGUAGACAAAAAGUUUGGCCGAUCAAGACACACCACUAUACAUCAAUAGAUACGUAUAUGUAAUGCAGAAAUGAAUGUGAAUAUGUUUGAAAAAAUGGACAAGAGAGAGAGAAGGUAAAAGAACAAGAGAGGAACAAGAGCAUGUUAUGGUAAUGAAGGACCCCCCCACCUGCAUUCAGUGCUUGUCUUUCUCUCUUUACUCUCUACAUUAACUUUCUUCUCACUACAAAUACUCCUUCCCUCUUCUCUUCUCUUCUCUUACACUUACAUUUGAAAAUAUAUUCGUCUUGCCACAUUAUAUAAGUAUUUAAGGAAAAAGAAGAAAAAGAGAGUCAUGUCUUGGUCUGUGAGGAGUGGAUUUGGGUUGGUAUUCUGUUUCAUUCUUCUGCUUUUGGCAUCCAAUGUUGGAUGUGCUAAUGCUCGUCGUCUAGGAUUUCACAAGCAUCAUCACAAGAUCCAAAAGGUUGCUUCUUCAGUACAAGACGUUGUCAAUGGUGGAGGGAGGAAGAGGGCUUUGGGUGGAGUAGAGACGGGGGGAGAAGUAGUAGUCAUGGAUUAUCCUCAGCCUCAUCGCAAGCCUCCCAUUCACAACGAGAAGGCUCACUGUACCUCUCUCUAUACAUCAUAUGAUCACGAGACUGUUACAUGCAUAUGCAUUCACCAUGACAUUCUUGAACUAUAUUCAUUACCAACUUCUUUUAUUCUCGCUUCCUUCGUUCUAUAAAACAAACAAGCUGCACCUCUCCCUUAUAAAUAUACUGUAUUUCAUGUGGAAGUAGCUUUAGUAGUACGUAACGAACAUUCUUCUGCUUAUAAUAUACUGUAUUUCAUGUGGAAUGAGCUUACUUUAGAACUCUUCACCACCAUUUUAGCUCUAAGUAGCUUUAGCAGUACGUAACCAACAUCAUCAUUACAGAGAAUACCAAUCAAUGUCGGUGAGAGGUACAAAACCCUCACUGCAGCUCAAAACUUAGCUAAUGGUAUAUAGUACCGACCGUAUACUUCUGGUUAAAUUAGGAUGGAAGACGGGAAUAAUAUUGUUAAAACAGACUCCAACUAUGAAUGGUUUCACAAAAUCAAUGAAUUCAGAUGUCCUGACGCCGAGCUUCAGAUCAAUCUCUCCACUGCCCAACCAGAAGAAGGCCGGUCUAAGUUUGGUUAUGGCCUCAUCCAGUAUCACCUAAAAGUUUCCCAAAACCCAUCCAACUCAUCAGUGCUGCUCAAAUGUCAACAUAGUAAACCAUAUUUAAUUUUCACAUCAAAAUCAAUCCAAAAUGCCUAGAAAAAAGUCUAAACAUGAAGCAUUUCAUACAUAUCUCCACGAAAGGAACUUCCAACUCUAUGUUUACUUUCCAAAUAACAUUUUGUUCUGCACAGACCGAACUGGAAUCCAAUGGUCUUUUUUUAUCAUGAGAACACAAGCAACAGAACUGAAUACUCAAAAGGGAAAACUCACUAAUACUUAAAAGAUGAUUUUGAUGUGUCACAGAUACAGUAGGAUGAAUAGUGUUUUGUCUGAAGUGGGCCACUUCUGCAUAAGAGAAGGAGGAAUACACAUCAAUGCAGUAGGGUAUGAGCCUACUAAGAUUAUUUCUGCACACUCAACAAAAAUAACGCCAUUUAAGUCUCUAACUGCUAGUAUUAGCAGUUCAAAGAAAGGGCUGUUUGCGAUAUAAUACGUGGCAGCGUCAGCGUCAGCAUUUUUUUUUUUUUUACACUUUUCGGUUAAGAACUGGUUUUUAUAUAUUUAAGAACCGGUUCUUAGCUUUUCUUAGUUAAAAGUUAAGAAAUGAUUCUUAACCAAAACUAAGAACCCCACCCUAAGAACCCGGGUUAAUCAUGGUCUAACGCUAGUAUUAGCAGUUCAAAGAAGGCAUCGGACCGUAAAAAAAGUGGUUCUAGUUUUUCAUAACGGCAAAAAUACUAAAGAAAAUGAGUGGUACAAACAGAAGCUGGCUCGCAAGAAAAAACUUUAACUAAUUUUGGGCCCGUAUCAAAUGCAAACAGUGUUAAAAUGUACCACACCUCCAUUACAGACUUAAAGAAACAACCCAAAAAAAAAACUAGCUGUCAGACCUUCGGGGCCUCUGUGACAAUUAGGACAGGCAUGUCUGGGAAACGCUUGGCAAGAACAUGUGUGGUAAAGGGAAAACUCUCUGUAACUAUUUAUGAACACAGAAGACAACACAAAACUGUUUGUCUAGGAGAAGAAAACACAAGUGGGCAGAGGUUAUUAUCAUGCUAAUCCUCAUAUCUUACACAUGUCUAAUAUAUAAUUAACAGUGUAGCAGCAAUGAGCAAGUACCAAGAGAUAAUCACCAGAGCAUGGCAAAGUCGGUCAGCUUCAGACAGAUUUGAUUCUACAACGGAAAUAAAAGUUUAAUCGACGUCUCCUCAGGAGCAAGUCUUACUACACAAAGAUUAGAGAAAGCCUGUCAACAAAGGGAAGCAAGGUAUAACCUUCAAUAUCACCAUUAUAUAAAAAAGAGUCACUAACGAUUAAAUCGUUUCUUUGGGAUCUUGCCCUCGUUUAGAGGAUAAAGAAAGUUCUUCGCUGCAUCAUGGACGUUAAAUCUAGCAGAGUACUGCCAUAGGAAAAAUAAAUAAAAAAAUAGUAGGUGGUCAGAUGAAUACAGUUAAAAAACGAAUUAAAUGUGAGAAUAUAUGCUAGGAACCAUUAGGAGCACCUAAACAACAACCACAUAGUAUUUAGAGUUGUUGCGAUCACUGCAAUCCAAAAUGUUUGAUGAAGCUUGAGUAUUAACCUGCAUUAGUAAACAUUUGGUGAUACGAAAAGAAACCACCUUCAAUAGCAUAGAUACGCUUUGCCUUUGCAACAUGAUUCAACAAGUGUAACAUGAAACUCUAUCCGAGGGCAAAAAAAAAAAAAAAAUGAAUCCAAGGAUGAAAAUGCUCUUGCAGAGAUGGUGGACAGAGGAAGAGCCGAGAAUGUUGCGGCGGGAUUCGAGAGUCCAGUCCUAGUAAUUGGGCUUUCAACUUAGUAGUAUUUGAGCGUCAAUCUAUUCCAUUAGAGUCUUAUGUGAUUGUAGAUUUUCUUCAAGUAAGUUGGCUCGAGCUCAACACCAACUAUCAAUACUUUAACCUUGGUCCAAAAAUCUUAUGUGACUGUAUAAGGUUCUCAUGUAACCGCAGCGGUUGCGAUUGCGGUUGUGGGAGUUUGCGGAUGCGGGUGGUUGUGAUUUUAAACGGGUUAAAGAAAUUUGUACUGCAGUUAGAAAUAUAGAAUCACAAGUAAUAAGAAGUCCUUCUAUUAUUCAAUCACAAAGUUCUCAAAUCACAAAUCACAAAUCACAAAUCAUAUGUUAUGCAACACAAUAUGCAUCUCCAUAUAUAUAGAACUAGAUAACUCCUAAUUCUAAUAGUAUUAUCACAAUCCAUAUUUCCUAAUUCUUUUAGAUAAUUAUAACUCAAUAAGAAAAGGAAACUUGCAAGUCAAGCUUAUCCAACAAUUUUCCCCGUAAGCUUGAAUUCGCCUUCAUCCACGUUCUUGACCCCGAUCAAAUUCCUCAUCUCGACAAACUUGGUUCUUCCCAAUGACUUGGUUAGUAUGUCUGCUCGCUGCUCACUUCCUGGCACAUGUUCCACUUCAGUUCGCUCUUUCUCAACACAUUCGCGUAUAAAGUGGAACCUUCAGUGUAUAUGUUUACUUCGGCCGUGAAAAACAUGAUUUUUCGUCGAGCAAUUGCAGAUUUGUUAUCCACCAUUAUCUUCACUUUCUCGCAAAUCUUUCCUAUGACCUCACCAAGUAAUUCUUGCAACCAUAUCGCUUGCUUUGCUGCCUCUGUAGCAGCCAUGAAUUCUGCCUCACAUGAUGAUAGAGCAACAAUCUCUUGCUUCUGUGAACACCACAUUAUUGGACUGUCAUCGAGAUAGAAUAUGUGACCUGUAGUGCUCUUACCAUCAUCUUCAUCGACGUUAUGAGAGCUAUCACUGAAUCCGACCACUUCUAACUUUGACUGCCUUGAAUACAAAACACCUAAAGAGACACUUCCUCGUACGUAUCUCAGUACUUGCUUUAAUGCUUCACCAUAUGAUUCCUUUGGUUCCUGCAUGUAUCGGCUUAGUAGUCCCACGCUAAAAGACAGGUCCGGACUAGUGUGCAAUAAGUACUGCAUGCAACCUAUGUUCCUUUUGUACUAUGUUUCAUCAACACCUCUUUCUGCAGGUGACUUGGACAGCUUUAUGUUGAAGUCCAUAGGAACAUGAGUUAAGUUGCACGUGCCCAUACCGCCUUCCUCAAGGAGCUUCAUCGCAUAUCGGCUUUGUUUCAAUGUAAUACCUCUGUCGAACUGAUGUACUUCAAUGCCCAAGUAAUAUGUCAAUCUUCCAAGGUCACUCAUCUCAAACACAAUUGCCAUACUUCUCUUAAAGUCAACGAAGACACCUGAUGAGCAAGUCAUCGACAUAUACUACCACGAUGAAAGUUCAACCCAACAAGAAUCUUGUUUAGCUUAGCAUUCCAUGCUCGAGGCGCUUGCUUCAAACCAUACAAAGCUUUUCUUAACUGAUAAACUUUCCCUUCUGGUCAUGCGAUCACAAAGGCCUCAGGCUGUGCAAUGAAUACUUCUUCCUUUAGUUCACCAUGCAAGAAUGUGGUUUUCACGUCGAGGUGAUGUAUCUUCCAACCAGAUGAAGCGGCCAACGAGAUAACUAGACGAAUUGUCUCGAGCAACUGGAGCGAAGACUUCGUCAUAGUCGAUCCCAUGUUUCUGAACGUAACCUUUAGCUACUAACCGCGCUUUGUAUUUGAUGAUACUUCCGUCGGCAUUACAUUUUAUUUUGAAUACCCACUUCAAUCCGAUCGGCUUCACUCCUUUAGGUAAAUCAACUAGGAUCCAUGUAUUGUUCUUCUCAAUUGAACUUAUCUUGUCUAAACACGCAUCGAUCCAGACCUGUAGCUUCCUUGCCUCUGUAAAAUCCCAUGGCUCAUCGUUGAUGACCAUGAGAAGGCGUUCACAUUCUUCAUCGGCUAAGAGGACGUAAUCUUCUAAGUACAAAGGUUUAUUGCUUACUCUUGUUGAUCGUCUUGGUUGUACCUGAGGUUGAUCAGUAUCAGCAUCAUCAUCUUCUUCUUCUUCUUCUAUUUCACUAGUUGGAAUAAUACUUUCAUUGUCUCCUACUGCUCUUGUCUCAUGAGUUUCUCUAUUGUCAUCGAGUGUCUUCAGUUCAAACUCAAAGGUACCGGAGUUAUCAUCUUCUCUCGCCUCCUCUGCUUUCCAAUUCCAACUUUGGUCUUCCUUGAAAACUACAUUGCGGUUUACGACAAUCUUUCUCUUCGAUGGGUCUAAAAGGCGAUAGGCUUUAGACCAUGUCUCUGUCCCGAGAUGCACUAGACGUCUAGAUUGAUCAUCAAGCUUCUUCCUUCCUGUUGUAUCACUUGUAGCAUAGCACACACACCCAAAUACUCAUAGGUGAUCGAGAUUUGGCUUCUUGUCCCGAAGAGCUUCAUAUGGUGUAUUUCCCUUUAGCGAUCUUGUCGCAAGUCGAUUGAUCAAAUAGGUAGCAUCUCGUACUGCCUCUCCCCACAAGAAUUUUGGAACACUCAUGUGUUUUAAUAUGCUUCUGGUCAUCUCUAAUAGCAUACAAUUCCGUCUCUCGACAACUCCGUUAUGUUGAGGAGAGUAUGGUGUUGUAAGAUGUCUCCUGAUACCAUGUCGAUCACAAUAGGUUUCAAACUCAUGAGAUAUGAACUCACCGCCUCUGUAUGUUCUCAACGUCUGGAUUGUAGCCUUUGUCUCCUGUUCGACCAUCACCUUAAAACGCUUGAAGCUUUCAAAAGCUUCACUCUUAUUUUUCAACAAAACGGUCCACAUAUAGCGAGAAAAAUCAUCAAUAAGAACAAAAAUGUAUCGUUUAUGUCCUGGGGUAGCAGGAGUAAUGGGUUCACAUAGGUCUCCAUGGAUGAGUUCAAUGGAUGGCUUGCUCGAUAUUGAGUUGUCUGUGGGUAUGGUUGUCUAGCUUGUUUUCCAAGUAAGCAAGACGCACAUGUUUCUUUUCCGACUGUGAUGUUUGGAAUGCCGGUGACAAGAUCUUUAUUUAUCAUCAGUUUCAUCGUCUCAACAUUGACGUGACCGAGUCGGGCGUGCCAUGUCGAUGAUUCAGUUGACGCUAUUUGCAAGUAUUGAAUAUUAUCCGUCUGCAAGGUGACUUUAUAAAGCCGAUUUCUUGAUCGUAUGCUCUCGAUCAUGAGAUGUCCACAGCGAUCGAAUAGCAUUAGCGUGUUACCUUUCAUUCGUACCUCGCAGCCAACUUCUGUGGCUUGUCCCAGACUCACAAUAUUGCUCUUCAAAGCUGGAAUAUAAUAUACGUCGUUUAGAACUUUUUUAGCACCUCCCGAGAAGACAAAUCGAAUGGAGCCCUUUCCUUUGAUAUCAACACGUGAAUCAUCCCCAAACCGCACUUUGCCUGUAAUUUUCUCGUCCAUUGUAUGAAAGAACAUACGAUUUCCACUCAUAUGGUUGCUUGCUCCAUUAUCAAGAUACCACAAGUUCUUGUUAUCAUGACCAGAAUCGUAGAUGCUCAGGUUGACCUUUUGUUCAUUGAGGUAGACUACCUCAUGCACUAUUAGCUCAUCGGCCUCUUGAGUAUCAUCACCUUUCUUCUCAAUAGUUUCUUGAAGCUUAAGUAAUUUGUCCGGACAUCAUUUGCGUAGUGUCCAAGCUUAUCGCACUUGAAGCACGCAAUGUGUGAAGCGUCCCAUUGAGUUCCUUGUCGAUAAGCGUCACGUUGUUGUUGAAAUUGCUAUAUCUACCACGACCUCAGCCUCUCCGCGAGUUAUAUCGACCUCCACGUCCUCGACCUCCGCGUCCUCCAUAUUGAUCUUGUUGUGACUCCGUAUUGGAGUACAACAAUUUGGUUUUAUCAUCUUGUAUGAUGAAAACCUCCCGAGGAGUCGACACUCUAAGUUGGUAAAGGGGAUAAGCCUUGCUGCUAUGAAACCGUAAAGCUUCAAAGACAAGGGAUGUGGAGUGAAUGGUCACACGAAGGAUGCGGAAGGCCAUCGAUAUUCCAACUCAAUGACCUAGGAUAUGACGCACCUAGACGACAAUGAGGAUGAUUCCCUGGAUAUGACGCACCAGGACGAAUCGGUUUGAUCCCUUGGAUAUGACUCACCAAGACGGAUCAAAAAUAUCAAUGGAUAUUACACACCAUUGAAAGAAAAGUGAGAAUCACUCUCAAGGUUCCAAAAAUAAUCACUCAAAGCUUAUUUUAUUUCAAUGGAGAUUACAACUUAUUUAUAAGAGAGUAAACUUGUUCACAAAGCUAUAUAUUUAUUACAUUGGAAAUCAUAAAACUAGUGCAUGGAGGAGAGAGAGUGUUUUUGAAACAAGCAUUCCUUGCAUGUAGGAGAGAGAAGCUUUUCAUGCAAUUAACCACCUAAUUUUCGUCACUCUCUUUGGACAGCAAAGAAACCAUUUGAUUUUGAAUCUUCUUGGGCUUGUAACUUGAUAAAAAUGGGUUGGACAUGUUAACUAACAUCUUGGGUCAAUUUCUGAAUGUCUUCCAUGUCCAUAGCUUCAUAUAUGAGCCCAAUAUCACAGCAUACUCCUCCUCUUCAAAAAGAUUUGUCCUCAAAUCUUGCUCUCCAAAGAAAGAAAAACUUGAACACACACUUCCAAAUGAUCCAGCAGAUUUGAAAAACAUAAAUAAUAAAACUCUUUUUUUUCUUUGUUUGUAGAAGAUGAAUAGAUGAGAAUGGUGGAUAACAGAAGUGAAUACCAAACUCAGAGUGUUGCUCUGAUACCAAAUGAUAAAAAAACCUCCCAAGGAAUACACUCUGAAAUUGGUAAGGGAUAAGUAAUGAGAUCCUAGGACUCUUCUCUGGAUGGUUUUGGAUAGAUCAUUGCAUAAACGAAUCAAAAACUCAAGUUUAUCAAGGCUGUGGAUCGUAUGGUGACACAAGAGGCUGCGGAAAGGCUUCUUGAUACUCCUAGGCUUAGAUCGGAUAUGACACACCUUUCUAAAGCCCUUGGGUGUUGGAUAUUACACACCAACAGACUAGAGAUUACACACCUGACGCUCUCUUAACUCGUGAAAGCAAAGGGAGAAGAAAACACAAAGGUUUUAAGUGAAAGAAGACUUGAUAGAUUGCUAGGGUUGCCGUCACACACAUAUAUAUAGUGAAAGGCUUGGAACAGGCUCCAAGCAUUUCAAAACUAAAGGAACACACUCCUUUAAUAAUGUAGAAACAAAGACAUAACUUAGAUAGAGUUUUUUUUUUGAAAAUAAAAGACAUAAGUACUUAGAAAUAAAAGAUAACAUAAGGUUCUUCAUGUGGUUUGGUCCGAGAGUAUCAACUAGGUGAUGUGUUAGCAAGACUAUGGCCUCGUUAAAAACCUAUCAUUGCAAAACCCAGUGGGACAAAAACAAUGACAGGAAAAGAGCACACAUAGCUUGCUAGCCUAGAUGAUACUCAGCUUGAUGGUAAGAUGGCUUGAAUGAUAAUGAGUGUGUCUUGAUGUAUCAAGCUUCCUCCAAGACAUUCUUCUUGCUCCAAAGACUUCCUGAUUAAUCCUCCAAUAGCUUCUUUGAGUUUCCUGGUUCUGGCUCGAGUUAUGGGACCUUCAGGAAUAGUUAAGACAUCUUCUUCAGCUAGUUCAUCUCUAAGCUCUCCAUCUCUAUCUCCAUCAACUGGCUGGUCCAUGAUCAUAUCAUCCCCUCCCUCUUGAAAAGGAUUUGACCUCAAAUCAGGUUCAUCUGCAAUAAAAUGGAUCAAGUCAGUAACAUUGAAGCUAUUACUCACAUCAUACUUACCUUGGAGAUCAAUCUUGUAGGCAUUGUUGCUGAUCUUCCUUGUGAUCUCAAAAGGUUCAUCAAUUCUCGGCAUAAGCUUGGACUUCCUCUCAUUAGGAAACCUCUCUUUUCUUAGAUGAACCCAGACUUGGUCACCCUCUUUAAAGACCAUCUCAUUCCUUCCUUUGUUGGCAUGCUUGACAUACUGCUUAGUUUUCUCUUCAAUGUUGAGCCUAGCCUGCUCGUGGAGUUGUUUCACUAUCUCUGCCUUAUUUUUGCCAUCCAAACUGACCCUUUCACACUCAAGUAAAGGGGUUAAAUCCAAAGGAGAGGUGGAGUUGAUUUUCAAAUGUCAAAGCUAUUCUGAAGUAAAGAAGAUUCAAAUAGCCACUGCUGAGUUUUAUGGUUAUGCUUCAAGCUGGUGGAAUCAAUUGGUGUCGUCUAGGAGACAUUGGAAAAGAACCAGUUGCAACAUGGCUUAAGUUAAGGGCUUUGAUGCGUCAUAAGUAUGUUCCCAGACAGUACCACAAGGGAGUCCUUCGAAAGCAGUCUGAGGCAAGGCUAUGUUCUUCAAUCUUGGAUCGGAAACAACAAGGAAGCAUGAGAUCAACUCCAACCAGUGUCAUUAGUUUAUCUAGAAAAACAACAAGCCGGGUCAGUAAGGAGGACAUCAAGGAGCUUUCUCAGUUGAUUAAGGACGUGGGGAAACCACUCAAGAGAACCAAUACAACACGACCAUUCAUUGAAGCACAACAUCAAGAACCAGUUACUACUGUCUCAGAACUCCAAGUUGAAGAGCCGGUAUCAAUUCAUCAAUUCUCGGCAUAAGCUUGGACUUCCUCUCAUUAGGAAACCUCUCUUUUCUUAGAUGAACCCAGACUUGGUCACCCUCUUUAAAGACCAUCUCAUUCCUUCCUUUGUUGGCAUGCUUGACAUACUGCUUAGUUUUCUCUUCAAUGUUGAGCCUAGCCUGCUCGUGGAGUUGUUUCACUAUCUCUGCCUUAUUUUUGCCAUCCAAACUGACCCUUUCACACUCAAGUAAAGGGGUUAAAUCCAAAGGAGAGGUGGAGUUGAUUUUCAAAUGUCAAAGCUAUUCUGAAGUAAAGAAGAUUCAAAUAGCCACUGCUGAGUUUUAUGGUUAUGCUUCAAGCUGGUGGAAUCAAUUGGUGUCGUCUAGGAGACAUUGGAAAAGAACCAGUUGCAACAUGGCUUAAGUUAAGGGCUUUGAUGCGUCAUAAGUAUGUUCCCAGACAGUACCACAAGGGAGUCCUUCGAAAGCAGUCUGAGGCAAGGCUAUGUUCUUCAAUCUUGGAUCGGAAACAACAAGGAAGCAUGAGAUCAACUCCAACCAGUGUCAUUAGUUUAUCUAGAAAAACAACAAGCCGGGUCAGUAAGGAGGACAUCAAGGAGCUUUCUCAGUUGAUUAAGGACGUGGGGAAACCACUCAAGAGAACCAAUACAACACGACCAUUCAUUGAAGCACAACAUCAAGAACCAGUUACUACUGUCUCAGAACUCCAAGUUGAAGAGCCGGUAUCAAAUGAACAUAUUCAAGAAGAUCAAGCCAAAGAAUCAUCACCUACCAUUCAGAAAGAAGAGCAACCAGUUCAGGACGUGAUGGUUACUAUCAUUCAGGAUGUGAAAGAAGAUGAGGCUGAGGCCCCUCCUCUCAUUAGGAAACCUCUCUUUUCUUAGAUGAACCCAGACUUGGUCACCCUCUUUAAAGACCAUCUCAUUCCUUCCUUUGUUGGCAUGCUUGACAUACUGCUUAGUUUUCUCUUCAAUGUUGAGCCUAGCCUGCUCGUGGAGUUGUUUCACUAUCUCUGCCUUAUUUUUGCCAUCCAAACUGACCCUUUCACACUCAAGUAAAGGGGUUAAAUCCAAAGGAGAGGUGGAGUUGAUUUUCAAAUGUCAAAGCUAUUCUGAAGUAAAGAAGAUUCAAAUAGCCACUGCUGAGUUUUAUGGUUAUGCUUCAAGCUGGUGGAAUCAAUUGGUGUCGUCUAGGAGACAUUGGAAAAGAACCAGUUGCAACAUGGCUUAAGUUAAGGGCUUUGAUGCGUCAUAAGUAUGUUCCCAGACAGUACCACAAGGGAGUCCUUCGAAAGCAGUCUGAGGCAAGGCUAUGUUCUUCAAUCUUGGAUCGGAAACAACAAGGAAGCAUGAGAUCAACUCCAACCAGUGUCAUUAGUUUAUCUAGAAAAACAACAAGCCGGGUCAGUAAGGAGGACAUCAAGGAGCUUUCUCAGUUGAUUAAGGACGUGGGGAAACCACUCAAGAGAACCAAUACAACACGACCAUUCAUUGAAGCACAACAUCAAGAACCAGUUACUACUGUCUCAGAACUCCAAGUUGAAGAGCCGGUAUCAAAUGAACAUAUUCAAGAAGAUCAAGCCAAAGAAUCAUCACCUACCAUUCAGAAAGAAGAGCAACCAGUUCAGGACGUGAUGGUUACUAUCAUUCAGGAUGUGAAAGAAGAUGAGGCUGAGGCCCCCAUGGAACCACAAUCAGACCGUGGACUGAAUCAACUGAUUGUCUUUGAUCUGUCUGAUUUCCAAAAGACAUUCUUGAGUACUUUUCUGAUCAGUCCCUUUGUUUGGAACAAGACCAGAGCAGUGGAGCUUUCAAGACACGAAUUGGGGAUGAAGCAAUUUGUAUUUGAGCCUGGAGGAGAGUUGUGUAAUCUCAGGAACAAGAACAAACUGAUUGAGAAAAAAUCAGCUACAUCAACAAUUGAUUUUGUUGACUUCUCAUCGUCUGAAGAUAAGGUGUUGCACGUCUCAUCUCAGCAAGACUUUCACUACAAAACCAAUUGUAGAAUGUUUACCACUCAGUCCUUGAUCCAACAAACCAGACCACGCAGUAAAUGGCCUCCUGAUCAUCAAGAUAUUGCCAAUUUUGCAAAACACAUCGAUUUGGAUCAAUUCCGUGAGAUACUUAUAUCUGAUUGGGUUGGAAGGUUACAGACCUACUUGUGGAGACCUGGAGAAUAUGUCAGCAUAUUUAUCUUCCUUGAAGAGCACUUUGCCCGUGCUAGAAUCAUCUUGGGUUAUAAGGAGUUGGAAGCAGGUCAAAACGCCUUGCUUCUCGACCAUGUCAAGAUAUGGAAGCCACCAGAUAUGCAGCAGCUUCAGCA
rnacentral:lncRNA from 1 species